rnacentral:lncRNA from 1 species
GAGGUUUACCAAUUGGGGUUGGUGGCUUGUGUUCUGGGAGUGGUUUCUCUCCCUUGGGAGGUUUAGUGGGUGACUUGUGUUCUGGAGGUGGCUUCUCCACCGAAGGCUUGUGCUCCGGUGGUGGCUUUUUGGUUGGAGGGGGCUUGGGGUAAUCAGCAAGAGAUGGGGUGGUGAGAACCACCAGUCCAAGGAACAACACUAGCAAGUAUGUGGGAGACAUUUUUGAGUUUGGGCUGAUCAGAUGAUGCAAAACUAAAGCAUUACGUGACCUUUUAUAGCAAGUAGCUCCCAAUACCUACUUGACACGUGUUACUGUGACCCAUAAAUAUUAUGGGGUCUAUUUGUGCCCUACCGGGUUGAAAACUUGGACAAUUGGGCAAGGACCCGCCUGACUAUGGAGGACUACUGAGGUGUGAUCACAGCUUUAGGAUUUUUCUUCCUCUGCAGCCGUCUUGCCGUUGGCAUGAUUUUCUUAAUCUCAAAUAAAGGCAUAGUUAUAGAGUUGUUUAAUCUCUAAAUGGGAUUUUAUAUAUCUUCAGAUAGCCAUUAAUACAUUUGAUGAAGAAAGAAAGACAAGUGCAUACAACAUGUAUACGACUAGCUUUCAUGGAGUUCAUUUAUGAUCAGUUUUCCUGUACAUGUAAACCAAGAUCAUAUAUGUUUUUGUUCCACAACAAUUUUGGAAUCUUGUUUAUCCGUUUUUAUCAUUAUAAUGUCACAUAGGCUGCCAACUUGGGCGCUAAAUUAAAGAUCCAGUUGGGCAAGUUCGUUUCAGAAUUUCAAUGGUGGAUUCAGGAAUUGUUUUAUAAGAUAUGCAAAAUAGUAGAGGGAUGAAUAGUGUUUCAUUAAGAAAAGAGCCCUGUAAAAAUAUUGUUUAAAGGUGCCAUAGAAACUAUAAUCAAUAAAUAACUUUUUUUCCCCAUGGGUGGUGUUUCUUGUGGGGAUCAGUGACUGGUUUGAGUCAACGCCGUGUCUCUUUAGUCCAGAAAUCAACUAUUUUAUGCAUUGAAUACAUCAACAAAGAAAAUAUGAAAGCCAAAUGACACCUCCCCCGCAAAAACUAAACCCUGGUUGCUAACUUUCUAUGUUUCAGUUCCAUUCACACAAGAAUAUUAGUUCAAGUUUGAGAAAAAUGGCGACUUACCUAGUGAUAACUCGGUCUUGGUUUGCGAUUUGACUUUAACGUCAUGGGUUGAAGCCUCCUACAAUCAUCGUGUAUGCUAGUUCAAAGCUCGUGGAAGAAGUUAUACAGGGAGGGAGAAACCUCCACAGCAAGCUCCAAAAGAGAAUUAUCACAUUGAAAGCUCCAGUUGAACACUGGGUGAAAGCCAUAACAAGAUUGGUUUUCUAUCGCUCUUUUAAGUAAUGGAAGAUUAUUAUCUCUGCUUGUCACUACAACCGUGCAUGCUGCUAGAUCUUUCUAGACACUUCAAACAGUGAAACCAAGUAUGAUUCUUUUUCUCUUGAGUGGGUCCACUUGCAUGCCAAUGAACGAGUUGAAAAGUUGGACAAUUGGCCACAGCGCGCACUUACCUUCUGGAACCGAAGGUCAGUGAAGUGGGGUUCCUUUUGGCCCCUUGUGUUUCUGUUCCAACCUACUCCAGGAACCGAAGUUCAGUGAAGUGGGGCUACUUUUGGCCUCUUGUGUUUCUGUUCCAACCAAACAAAAAUGGGAGGGAAAAAUAGCAUUAUGCUUGUGCUAAAGAUCAACGCAUGAUAGCUGAAUAAGGGAGAAAAAGGCAUUGCUAUCUCAAUUUCAUAAACUUGAUAAGUAGUGACAUUAAUAGUCUUCCUCAUAGAUGGAUACAUGGUUUUAUUUUAUUUAUUUAUUUUUAUUUUUUUGUUUUAUGUCAAUGCUAAUGAAUGAAGUGCAUUAGCUUGUUUUGUGACUAGAACUACAAAUGUCCAAAUUGGAGCUUCUCCAAUAUAUUUCUCAGUGAGUUAUUGAUUAGAACUCUUGGAUUGAGUUCCAAGAUUUGAAUCAGACCCCUCUAGCAGCUUCAGGGGUACGUAGCAACCUAUAGCAUAUUAAUGAAGACUUAGGAUUUAGACUUAGGAAUACAAAUUAAUAUGUACCUCAUGCUCUGACUAGCUUCCCUGCGUAUGCACAAAAUGGAGAUGACUCCCAAAAAAAUAGCAGAAUCGCCUUAGUAUGUUUUUGUGGUUAAGAUGAUUCUCCACUUUAUAUAUCCACAUUGGUUCAUUAUGCAAAUUAAUCAACUAAGCUAUUUUUAUUUUUUCUUAAAUGUGAAAUAGGAGCUCCAAAUUAACCUAACCAUUGGCCUGAUUGAAUUGAUUUCACUUGCAUAAUGUUAUAGUAGAAGUCCGUAAUUUGAAUUUUAUUUUUGCAAAAGGUAACGUAAAUGAAGCAUUGUAAUUAAAUUUAUUUGUAAUUACAAACUAAUUUUAUUUUAUUAAGAAUUAAUUUAAUUACUCAUUUAAAAUAAAAAUCAGUUAUACUUUUACCAAGAUGAUAAUAUUCAUAUUUUUCUAGUUAACAUAUAUAAAAUAGUACACUUUUUCAUAUAAAAAAAUAAUUUAUGAUUUAUUAUAAUGUUACUAUUCACAUUUUACUAAAUUGAUGGUACAUGAUAGUGAGAGAAGGGGGUGUCACACUCAGCUAAAGUUCUUUUCAAAAUAUUGCAUGGUGUUUAAUUUUAUGUGUCGGCGCGCGUGUGAAUGGAACCUGCAAAAGUCCAAAUUGGCGUUUCUCCAUUUUCCACAUAGGAUGGUGACGUUAAUAGACAAAGAUACAAUAUCUGUAGACAUUGCUUAAAAAUCGAUGUGAAGUAUUAGAAAUUACAGGGCACUGUACUGGGGGAGCGGCUGCCCCGCCAAAGGAGGAAGAAUGUAGCAAUUUCUUCUGUUAGCCAGGCCUUAGGAUUUAUGCAUGGGAUGCCUAAUAACAAACAGAGAAAAUAUACUUUUGGGGAAGGUAUCCAACAACAGACACCAUCAUUCAGAUGGUGGGAAGGUAUCCAACAGAUGCCAUCAUUCAGAUGGUAACAUAUAUAUACAUUUAUUAGUGAGUUUUUUUAAUACCUAUAAAAAAAAAUAUACACUUUGAUAUUGUGGCUGAAUCCAUUACAUACUCAACUAACCUUGCUCAUUAGGGAUUUGACUUAACAAGGGCAACGUUGCAGUACAAGCUCAAAACUUUAUGCAGGUGACAUUACAUUUGGUAAAGAAGAGGAAAAUAACGAAAGCCAUCCAUAAAAGCAAAAUUCCACAUGGGAUGAAAUUCACAAGCUUCAUUUACGAUAGAGUCGCAUCCAGGCAAUUAAUUCCACAUUAGACCGCCUGUUGACAUGUGUACCAAUCUUUUUUCAAAAAAUAUUUAUAAAUAAUUGAUACUCACAAAAAUAAUUUAAUAUUUAUAAAGGAUAAAAAAAUAUUUUCAAAUCUAUAACAAUUUAUAAAAUAUUAAUAAAAAAUUAUCUCUUAAACUUAGUAUAGUUUUAUCAGAUUAAACUUUUAUUUUGAACAAAUAAUUUUAAUCUAAGUUUUAAAUUCUAAAAUUAUUUCCUUAAAAUAAAAUUUUAAAAUUCAACACUUCAAUUGAAAUUGUCUUUUUAAAAAAUAUCUUCUUAUUUUAAUCCUUAUAAACUAUAGUUGAUUGAAAAUACUAUUGAAGUUCUCUCUUAAAAAAAAGUCUUAUUUUAAUCUUCAUAAAUUGCCCUUGAUUUGAAAAUAAAUUUUCAGUUAUCAUAUUUUAAAUAAUAUCUAUAUUUAAAAUACUCUAUUUAAAAAAAAAUGAACUAAUUUUAAUUAUAUUAUAUUUUAUUUUUUUAUAUAUUUUUAAUGAUAAACCAAACAUAGAAAAUCAUUUUUCUAAAUAUUUUAAAAUUUCUAAGCAACCAAACAUAAUCUUCAAAAUAAAAGGAAAAUAAGGAGGGACAUUUGAGAAAUGGCGAUUAAAAAAAAGUGUACAAAAGCUCAAUUAAUUUUCUUCUAGUCUUUUAUAUAAAAAAGUAAAGGAAUUGAAAAGUAUUGAUAUGUAAAUUAAUAUUUGGAUUUUAAUAGUAUUUUAUUUGUCUUUCUCUAUCUCAUGUAAAAGAGAAUUUAAGAUAUUUCCUAAAGCAAAGCAUUAGUUAUCUGCAAUCAGUGGUGAUCAUGCCCCAUGUCAAUUUCGGACCCAUAUCUUAAAACUGUAUAAUUUGCAUUCAAACAUUACUGAUUUCUCAGAUGUUUCAUACUCCACAGAAGAGCAUUGUUUGUGAAAGCAUGCAUUUAUGUUGGAUUUUGGAUGAUGUGGGAACUGGGGCAAGGAUCAUAUGGAAGAGUGGUCGAUUUUGUUCUGUACUUUAACAUUUGAAAUAGGAGAAGCUCGGGCAUUUGUGGGGCUUAAUUGAUUUUGAAGCCUGAAAUUGCGUUUCUGUCAUUUUGUAAAAAAUAUGGCAGAUUCCAUGCUCUCAUAUGUUUGGUCUGUGGCCAUGUAUAGAUGCCCCUUAGUGACCAGUUUGUAACUGUCAAUCAUAGUGUUUUGACUCUGGCUCAACAACAUCAGCCAUUGACGGAUUUUCAUACUUGCAAAUCAAAUAGUCUUCUUCCUCCCUUAGGAAUUUCGGUUUAAAUGUUAUUAAGCAUACAUUUGGCUGACAAUUAUUAACCACUUCAUGAUAUGGUUUCUUACCCUUAAUCAAUGGUUUCUAAGUGAAUAUAUGCAGAAGGAAAUCUGAACUGUAGACAGCAGUAUUGAUAACUCUCAAUAUUCUUUAUAUAAGAGAAUAAACAACGUCAUAGUGAUCGUCGCCUACAAGAAAGGUACAUUUCCCAACAAGAUGUAGUUGUGACUGGUACAUGGACGCAAUUAACUCGUACAAAAGAAUAAGACCAGUGCACGGCAGCUCUUAUUUUACAUGCUAAUUAUGCUAACCAAAGUCACUCAGUUGGGAUGGGAGGGAGAUGGAGGUUUGUGCGGUGGCUUGUGGGGCGGAGUUGGUGGCUUCUUUUCAGGAGCUUGUGGCUUUUUCGGAGCUGAAGGAGGCUCAAUCUUAUGAGGCGGCUUGUACGAGUCUUCUUUACUCUCGACAGGAGGGUGGCCAGGGUUGUGACCAUAAUGUGGUGGCUUCUCUCCCUUAGGUGGCUUGCCAACUGGGGUUGGUGGCUUGUGUUCAGGAAGUGGUUUCUCUCCCUUGGGAGGUUUACCAAUUGGGGUUGGUGGCUUGUGUUCUGGGAGUGGUUUCUCUCCCUUGGGAGGUUUAGUGGGUGACUUGUGUUCUGGAGGUGGCUUCUCCACCGGAGGCUUGUGCUCCGGUGGUGGCUUCUCCACCGGAGGCUUGUGCUCCGGUGGUGGCUUCUUGAUUGGAGGGGGCUUGGGGUAAUCAGCAAGAGAUGGGAUGGUGAGAACCACCACUCCAAGGAACAACACUAGCAAGUAUGUGGGAGACAUUUCUGAGUUUGAGCUGAUCAGAUGAUGCAAAACUAGAAGAAUUACGGGACCUUUUAUAGCAAGUAUCUCCCAAUACCCACAUGACACGUGUUACUAUGACCAUAAAUAUUAUAGGGUCCAUUUGUGCCCUACCGGGUUGAAAACUUGGACGCUUGGCCGAGGACACACCUGACUAUGGAGGACUAUUGACGUGUGAUCACAGCUUUUGGAUUUUUCUUCCUGUGCAGCUGUCUAGCGGUUGGCAUUAUUUUCUUAAUCUUAAAUAAAGGCAUAGUUAUAGAGUUGUUUAAUCUCUAAAUGGGAUUUUAUAUAUCUUCAGAUAGCCAUUAAUAUAUUUGAUGAAGAAAGACAAGUGCAUACAACAUGUAUACGGCUUGCUUCAAUCGAGUACAUUUAUGAUCAGUUUUCCUGUGCAAGUAAACCAGUUUUUUGUUCCACAACUAUUUUGGAAUCUUGUUUAUCAGUUUCUAUCAUUAUAAUGUCACAUAGGCUGCAAACUUGGGCACCCAAAGAUCUAGGUGGGCAAAUUUGUUUCAGACUUUCAAUGGUGGAUUCAGUAAUUGUUAAAAGGUGUUUCUUCAUUAAGGAAAGAGUCCGGUAAAAAUAUUGUUAAAAGGUGUCAUAGAAACUAUAAUAAAUAAAUAACUUCUUUUCCCCAUGGGUGGUGUUUCUUCUGGGGAUCAGUGACUGGUUAGGGUCACCCAAAAUGAGUCCAGAUUAAAAUUGGUUCGAGUCAAAGCAGUCUCUUUUGUCCAGAAAUCAACUAUUUUGCGCAUUGAAUGAAUCGAUAAAGAAAAAAUGAAAGCCAAAUCACACCUCCCCUGCAAAACCUAAACCCCGGUUGCUAACUUUCUAUGUUUCAGUCCUAUUCAUAUAGGAAUAUUGGUUCAAGUUUGAGAAAAAUGGCAACUUACCUAGGGUUUACUUGGUUUUGGUUUGCGACUAUUUACGCAACCAACCAUGAGUUUGACUUUAACGUCAUGGGUUGAAGCCUCCUACAAUCAUGUAUGAUAGUUCAAAGCUCGUGGAAGAAAUUAUACAGGAAGGAAGAAACCUCCAAAGCUAGCUCCAAAAGAGAAUUAUCACAUCGAUAGCUCCAGAGAUUCCCAAGGGAACUGAAUCAAAGACAAGUUCCUCACUUUUUCUUCUUUUGAGGCCAAAUAUGAACCAAGGAUCACACGACCUCAUUCAACUUCAUAAGUUUGAUUUCAUGCAGUUGAACACUGGGUGAAGGCCAUGACAAGAAUUGAUUAAAAAAUUCUACCACUCUUUUAAGUAAUGGAAGAUUAUUAUCUCUGAUUGGCACCACAACAGCACAUGCUGCUAGAUCUUUCUAGACACUCCAUGCAAUGAAAGCACAAUGGAUCUUGUAAUGAUAGAAACUAAGCCAUGCUACAGUACUAGAUGAGGGGGUAAAACUAGUAGACAUCUUUCUAGACACUCCAUGCAAUGAAAGCACAAUGGAUCUUGUAAUGAUAGAAACUAAGCCAUGCUACAGUACUAGAUGAGGUGGUAAAACUAGUAGACAUGGCUGGCAGUUGAUUACUACUCAAAAAGUACUCUUUUAUAGCUUGAAACUAACUGUUUUAAACACUUUUGAGUAGUAGUUAAUACCUUUUAACUUAAUUGGCACAUUAAGGAACCUAGCAAGGGUUACUAAUCAACAUUUGGCAAGUUUUGAUGUUUUUGGUAGCUAUUUGAUCAUUGAAACAAGCCAAGAAUGAGGGGGAAUUUUGUGAAGUCCAUGGCAAUGCAAGUUAAAGCUCAAAUACAUGAAGAAUCCAAGCUUUGGAGCACUUCAUAGCCCUUUGCCAAGCCAAUCAAAGAUGCAAGGAAGAAAACCAAAGGAAGAAAUCCAACAAUCAGCAUUUUGGCAUGGCUAUGUGAAAUUUCGCACACCAUGCGAAACCACAAGAGGCAGCCAAAGAAUUUCGCAUGGUAUGCGAAAUCUUCUUGUGCACUGACUCUGUUAGAUUUUUAUCUUCAGAUAUUUUGUGUAAUUUCCUAGUUUCUCCUUGUAACCAACUUAGAUAUUUUCUUUUAUAUCUUUUUUUAUAUUUUUUAGGUAACAUCAUAUAUAAGAGGAGAGACAUAAGGAGGAUAUGGAUGUUUUUCAUAGAACACUUGUAAAUUUUUGGUAGUAAGAAAUAUACAAAGCUUUUUGCUCUGCCUUACCUUCUCAAGGGAUGAGUGGCUAGGUUUUCUUGGAGUGAGGGAAGCUAGGUGAAGGACCUGAAUGCAAAGGUGGGAGUUUUCCUUACUUUAAAUGAAAGUAGUUGUUAAACAUUAAUGGUUUUUAUUUUAAGGUUUAGCUUUAAAUCCCUGAAAAACACCUUGAAUGGCCAAUACUUGGUAAGCUUUUUAGAUUCUAUGGAUGCUUAUUGCUAGAUCCAUGGAUGUCUAUUAGUUAUCAUUUACGAGCCAUUGGAAGGUGAUUCAAGGUGAGGGUCUUUAGUGUUUGAAGCCAUUAAUGGGAAGCAAUUACCAUUUUUUCAUGAAUCCUUUGGAUCAAAUCUUAAUUGCUAAAUAUAAAACCGGUUUCGAGAGAUAACCACCAUCCUUUAUGUUAUUAUCCCCAACGCGAGGAGAAGAUCCGAAAUCUUCCUUUUUAUCUAAGGAACCCGAUCCUAGUGACCUAAAGCUCCAAGAUACCUUUUCUUUGUAGUUAACUUCAUUUAUUGUUUUUGCUUAACUUAAAAUCAAUCUUUGCAACCACAAUUCCAUUUUCUUUAAAAGCUAAUUUUUAUAAGGAAAAACACCAUUUUAUUUCCUUCACUAAGUCAACUGUACGAUGAAAACCCAUCCCUGUGGACGAUCCUAGAGCCACUAUACUAUGUUAGCUAUGCUACCCUAGUGUGAGGUGAUUUAGGUUUUAUAAAUUUUUUUGAUAACACCCAUCUGAGCCAGAAUCAAAUGGCACGACUGAACCAGGGACGAAUCAAAUGACGCCGCUACCAAGGAUGGUGCCAAAGUACAUUGACAUGACUUUUGGUGAACACUUGUGAUCUUCACCACAAGUUUGGUGAUUUUUCUUUUACUAAUUUUUUUUAUUUUAGCUUAUCUUUUAUUUAGUUUUUAGUUAACCUUAAAUUUUUCCUAGAAUUGUAUUUCUUUUGUUUUCUUUGUUUUUGUUUCAGUGAUCUUUAGUUGUGCAUGCCCUAUUGGAUAAGAGAUAUUGAGGGAAUACUUGUGAAGAUUGAAACUCCUCGAGAAACUGAGUUAGAAGUGUGCUUGAACAUCAUGGAUGUUCCACCUGAAGACCAGAAUAGCCAACAUGGUUAAGAGGAUAAUUUCAACACAUACCGAUCCAUGAGGAACCGCAUACAUCCACCUUGUAUGAGUGCACCGUCAGGCAUAAUGCCUCCCACUGAGCAGCUAGUAAUCUGACCUCACAUUGUGCCACUCCUACCUACUUUCCAUGGGAUGGAGAGUGAGAAUCCCUACUCGCAUAUUAAGGAAUUCGAGGAGGUUUGUAAUACAUUCCAAGAAGGAGGAGCUUCAAUUGACUUGAUGAGGCUCAAGCUAUUUCCUUUCACUUUGAAGGAUAAGGCCAAGAUUUGGCUUAAUUCUUUAAGGCCAAGAAGUAUCCAAACUUGGAUUGAUUUGUAAGCCGAGUUUCUUAAGAAGUUCUUCCCUACCCAUAGGACCAAUGGUUUGAAAAGGCAAAAUUUGAACUUCUCAGUUAAAGAGAAUGAGAAAUUCUAUGAGUGUUGGGAGAGCUACAUGGAAGCUAUUAACGUUUGUCCUCACCAUGGCUUUGACACAUGGCUCUUAGUGAGCUAUUUUUACAAUGGUAUGUCUUCUUCAAUGAAGCAACUCCUAGAAACUAUGUGUGGAGGAGACUUCAUGAGUAAGAAUCCGGAGGAAGCCAUGGACUUUUUGAGUUAUGUGGCUGAAGUUUCAAGAGGAUGGGAUGAACCAAAUGCUAGAGAGGUGGGAAGAAUGAAGUCUCAACCUAAUGCUAAGGGUGAGAUGUAUGUUUUGAAUGAAGACAUUGACAUGAAAGCAAAGGUUGCAGCUAUGGCAAGGAGAUUGGAAGAGCUAGAAAUGAAGAACAUACAAAAAGUGCAAGCCAUUUCUGAGACAUCAAUGAAAGCUAUGCCUUGUUCCAUUUGUCAAUCUUAUAAGCACCUAGUGGAGGAGUGUCCUACAAUUCCAGCAGUGAGAGAGAUGUUUGGUGAUCAAGCAAAUGUUAUUGAUCAAUUCAAGCCUAAUAACAAUGCUUCAUAUGGCAACACCUACAAUUCAAAUUGGAGGAACCAUUCAAAUUUCUCUUGGAAACGAAAGCCACCUCAAUACACACAACCUACUCAAGCACCUUAGCAAUCCUCGAAUCUUGAACAAGCUAUUGUGAACCUUAGCAAGGUUGUGGGAGACUUUGUGGGAGAUCAGAAGUCCAUCAAUGCUCAACUGAAUCGGAGAAUUGACAGUGUGGAGAGUACAUUGAACAAAAGGAUGGAUGAGAUGUAAAAUGAUCUGUCUCAAAAGAUAGACAAUGUCCAAUACGUAAUCUCAAGGCUUACCAACCUCAACACAGUGUAAGAGAAAGGAAAGUUUCCUUCUCAACCUCAUCAAAAUCCUAAGGGUAUCCAUGAAGUAGAGGCUCAAGAGGGAGAAUCUUCAAAGGUGAGGGAAGUCAAAGUAGUUAUCACCUUGAAGAGUGGUAAAGAGGUUGAUCAACCCACAUCCAAGCCAAAGCAUAAUGAAGAGAGUGUAGCAGAAAAAGAAAAGAGAGGAAAAUAAAGGAAUUAGAAUAGAGAAAAAUACAAAGAAAGAUGACCAUGAGUCUAGUGUGGAUGAAGAGCCCGAGAGGAUGGUGAUCAAGGAAGAUAUGAUGAAGAAACACAUGCCUCCACCUUUCCCCUAAGCUUUGCAUGACAAAAAAAGAACCAAUAAUACAUCAGAAAAUUUUGAAGUAUUGAGGCAAGUGAAGGUCAAUAUCCCUUUGCUAGACAUGAUCAAACAAGUGUCGACAUAUGAAAAAUUCUUGAAGGACUUGUGCACUGUAAAGAGAGGGUUGAAUGUGAACAAGAAAGCUUUAUUGACCGAGCAAGUGAGUUCCAUCAUACAGUGCAAGUCCUAGUGAAGUACAAAGAUCCGGGUUGCCGUACCAUCUCAGUGAGUAUUGGAAGGACUUGUGUGGAGAAAGCUUUGUUGGACUUGGGAGCAAGUGUGAAUUUGCUAUCCUACUCUGUCUAUAAGCAGUUGGGAUUUGGAGAGUUGAAGCCAAUAUCCAUCACUCUAUCUCUAGCGGAUAGAUCAAUGAAGAUUCCAAGAGGGAUGAUCGAAGAUGUCCUGGUUCAAGUUAACAAAUUCUACUAUCCAGUAGAUUUUGUUGUUCUUGAUAUGGAUCCGGUUGUCAAAUGAACUAAUUAUGUUCCUAUCAUACUUGGAAGACCCUUCCUAGCUACAUCAAAUGCAAUCAUCAAUUGUAGGAAUGGAGUCAUGCAACUCACAUUUGUCAACAUGACAUUAGAGCUCAACAUCUUCCAUUUGUACAAGAAGCAUAUCCAUCAGGAGGAAAAAGAAGGUCUAGAGGAAGUGUGAAUGAUUGACACUUUAGUGGAAGAGCAUUGUGAUCGAGAAUGCAAAAAGAUUUAGUUGAGAAUUUUGGGGAUCUUGAUGAAAGGUUACUUGAACCCUCAGAUUUGCUUGCUACCCUACUCCAUUGGAAGAGAAGAGAAGAAAUUCUACCCUUAUUCAAUGAGGAGGAGACGCAAAGAGCUGCAAAGGAGAAACCCCCAAAACUUAUUCUUAAGCCACUACCCACAGAGUUGAAGUAUGUAUACUUGGAAGAAGACAAGAAGUGCCCUAUUGUUAUAUCUUCAACUCUUACCAUUCAUCAGGAGGAUUGUCUACUUGAAGUCCUUAGAAGAUGUAAGAAGACAAUAAGGUGGCUAAUUUCUUAUUUGAAAGGGAUCAGCCCUUUAGUCUGCACCCAUCAUAUUUACAUGGAGGAUGAAGCUAAGCUAAUUCAUCAACCUCAGAGAAGGUUGAACCCUCACAUGCAAGAGGUGGUUCGAGCUGAAGUUCUGAAGCUACUUCAGACCAGUAUUAUUUACCCCAUAUCAAAUAGCCCAUGGGUGAGUCCUACUCAAGUUGCGCCAAAGAAGUCUGGGAUCAUGGUGGUGCAAAAUGAUAAGGGAGAAGAUGUCUCUACACGCCUCACUACAGGUUGGAGGGUGUGUAUCAAUUACAGGAGGUUGAAUGCAGUGAUAAGAAAGGACCAUUUCUCAUUGCCCUUUAUUGAUCAGGUGCUUGAGAGGGUCUCUGGGCUUUUUUUUUUAUUGUUUCUUGGAUGGCUACUCCGGGUACUUUCAGAUAGAAAUUGAUGUUGAAAACCAAGAUAAGACCAUUUUCACAUGCCCAUUUGGAACCUAUGCAUAAAGGAGAAUGCCUUUCGGCUUAUGCAAUGCACCCGCAACUUUCCAAAGAUGCAUGUUAAGCAUUUUCAGUGAUAUGGUGGAGCGUAUUAUGGAAGUCUUUAUGGAUGAUAUCACCAUUUAUGGAAGUGCAUUUGAUGAAUGCUUGGUCAACUUAGAAGCUGUUCUGAACCGAUACAUUGAGAAAGACUUAGUGCUUAACUGGGAGAAGUGCCAUUUCAUGGUACACCAAGGGAUUGUCCUUGGGCACAUUAUCUCCAAGCAAGGCAUUGAAGUUGACAAAGCAAAGGUUGAACUCAUUGUUAAGUUGCCAUCCUCAACAAAUGUCAAAGGAGUAAGGCAAUUCUUUGGCCAUGUCGGGUUCUAUAGGAGGUUUAUCAAGGAUUUCUCUAAGCUUGCAAGGCCUCUUUGUGAAAUAUUGGUGAAUGAUGUUAAAUUCAUAUGGGAUGAUGGAUUUGAAAGGAGUUUUGAAGAAUUGAAGCUAUUUUUGACAACCGUACCAAUAGUGAGGGCUCCCAACUGGCAACUGCCCUUUGAAGUAAUGUGUGAUGUCAAUGAUUUUGCUAUAGGAUUUUUUCUUGGGCAAAGAGAAAAUGGAAAACCUUAUGUGAUCUACUAUGCGAGGAAGGCAUUGAAUGAGGCACAAAGAAACUACACAACCACCGAGAAAGAAUUGUUAGCUGUAGUUUUUGCCUUGGAUAAGUUUCGCGCUUACUUGGUGGGGUCCUUCAUCAUGGUUUUUACUGAUCACUUUGCUUUGAAGUAUCUGUUGACUAAGCAAGAUGCUAAAGCAAGGCUGAUUAGAUGGAUUCUCUUACUUCAAGAGUUCAAUCUCCAUAUCAAAGAUAAGAAAGGAGUGGAGAAUGUGGUAGCAGACCACAUUUCAAGGCUAGCUAUCGCACAUAAUUCCCAUGCUUUGCCCAUUAAUGACGAUUUUCUAGAGGGGUCUCUCAUGUUGGUGGAAGUUGUCCCUUGGUACGCUCACAUUGCUAACUACCUGGUCACGGGAAAAGUUCCAAGUGAGUGGAAAGCACAAGAUAAGAAGCACUUCUUUGCAAAAAUUCAUGCCUACUAUUGGGAAGAGCCAUUUCUAUUCAAGUAUUGUAUGGAUCAGAUAAUAAGGAAGUGCGUUCCUGAAGAAGAGCAACAGGGGAUCCUUAGUCAUUACCAUGAAAAUGCAUGUGGAGGCCACUUUGCUUAUCAAAAGACAGCCAUGAGGGUGUUGCAAUCGGGUUUCUGUUGGCCAUCACUUUUCAAAGAUGCCCACACCAUGUGCAAGAGUUGUGAUCGAUGCCAGAGGCUUGGGAAGUUGACACGCAGGAACAUGAUGCCUUUGAACCCCACUUUAAUAGUUGAUAUUUUUUAUGUUUGGGGCACUAACUUCAUGGGACCUUUCCCUAUGUCUUUUGGCUACUCUUACAUCUUGGUAGGAGUAGAUUAUGUUUCUAAGUGGGUUGAGGCAGUCCCAUGCAAACACAAUGACCAUAGAGUGGUUCUCAAGUUUCUUAAAGAGAAUAUCUUCUCAAGAUUUGGGGUGCCCAAAGCCAUAAUUAGUGAUGGGGGUACUCAUUUUUGCAACAAGCCUUUUGAAACUCUCCUAGCCAAGUAUGGGGUGAAGCAUAAGGUAGCUACACCUUACCACCCUCAAACUCAUGGACAAGUUGAGUUAGCAAACAGGGAGAUUAAAAACAUAUUGAUGAAGGUGGUGAACACAAACAGAAAAGAUUGGUCAGUCAAGCUUCUUAAUUCACUAUGGGCAUAUAGAACAACUUACAAGACCAUUCUCGGGAUGUCUCCUUAUCGCCUAGUUUAUGGCAAAGCAUGCCAUCUCCCUGUGGAAUUGGAAUACAAAGCUUGGUGGGCAAUCAAGAAGCUCAACAUGGAUUUGAGCAGAGCUGGGUUGAAGAGGUUCUUAGACCUUAAUGAGAUGGAGAAAUUGAGAAAUGAUGCCUACAUCAAUUCAAAAAUUGCAAAAGAAAAAUUGAAGAGGUGGCAUGAUCAGUUGAUUUCCCGCAAGGAUUUUCAAAAUGGACAAAGAGUCUUACUUUAUGACUCUAAACUCCACAUCUUUCCGGGCAAGCUGAAAUCAAGGUGGAUAGGUCAUUUUACCAUUCACCAAGUGCAUUCAAAUGGAGUAGUGGAACUACUCAACUCCAACAAUAUCGAGAACUUCAAAGUGAAUGGCCACCGUCUCAAGCCCUUUGUGGAGUCUUUUUCUCACAACAAGGAGAAAUUCAUCCUCCUUGAUCCACAUCAAGCUUAACAAGACCAAUUUUCUUGAUGGACUUAGUCUUUCUAAAGACUAUCGAGUCCAUAACUUUUUGUUUUAUUUUUUAUUUGAGAUUUUUUCGGUAUUGUUACUUGUUUUGUUUUUUAUUUUUCGUUUUAAUUUUAUUUGGUUUGAUUUAACUUAGGUUUUUGAUGAUCAAUUACAGGGGGGAUUUCAAAUAGAGGAAAAACCAAGAUAAUUCGCACACCCUACGAAAAUUUCGCAAGGCAUGCGAAAUUUAUGGCUUAUUUUGCAUGGGGUGAAAAUUUUCGUACAUCUUACGAACCAAUUUCGAACACUUUGCGAAAAUAAACCAACCCUGCGAAAUCAUUUCGAUUACUCUACGAAAUUUUCGUAGAGCAUGCGAAAAAUUUAGCACACCAAACACCAUUUCGCAUACUAUGCAAAAACCUAAGGGGUCUGCGAAACCAUUUCGCACCUCCAAAUCCAUUUCGCACAUUGUGCGAAAACCAAGAGGCGCUGUGCGAAAAUGAAAAGUCGCCCUGUCAUCCCUUUUUAAACCCCUCGAGCCCUAAAAUCUCCAUUUCGCAAGCACCCCUGUCCUUGCGAAUCCCUCAUUUUCCUCUACUACCUUGCAACCUCGUCCCUUUCCAUUUGAUAUUGUGCCCCGCGCACAUCUCAUUUCAGAGACUCGCACUCCGCGCCCCCUCAAAGCAUGGACUCGAGACCCACCUUCCAUUUCCGACGUGGCACGGACCCAAGGAGCCCUUUCUGCCCCUUCACUAAGACACACACCAAGGCAGAAAGCCUCCUUUGCUCAAGUGCCUAGUGAUUCUCCAUCUUAGGCCUCAGAGGCCUCGGAGGCCCCGUGGAUUCCACCUUCCGAGGGUAGAGCAGCCAUUGGUCCUUCCUCUUCUACUCCUUAGCGUAGAUACGAGACGAGGAGACCACCUACUACACAAGGGGCGACUACUUCGAGCCUUGAGAAUUCAGUACGAUGCCUUCCUGCCAAGAGGGUCAAGACUUCAGGUCCAAGUGAGUCAUCCAGAGCUUCAUAGCCUAAGCCUCCUGUAGAUUCCAAGGUUCCUACUGACAUAUCACCGGAGUCUAUUAUCAGAAGCCCGAUGCUCAUAGCACCGCCCAUUGAGGGCAACUCAGAUUAUAGAGCGAGAUCUUUCCACUUGGAGCUAUAUUUUGAUCAGGAGGCCAUACGACAGCAGCCUGAGCUCCGAGACUCUUAUGGCUUACUGCAGAGGUACCAUCUUGAGGAACUUAUGACUCCUCGUGAGUUUUUUUAUCCCAGAGUAGCACUAAACUUUUACCAGUCCAUGACUACUCGUGGCGUCCCGAGUCCUACCACGAUUCACUUCACCAUUGAUAGACGUCAUGGUAUCCUCAAGGCCAGACAUAUUACAGAGGCUCUACAAAUUCCUUUCGAGCUAGAGGAUCCAUCUGUUUUUCGCUAAUGGUCCCCAGUAUCUCAGAGGGACAUGGUCCGUAUUUUAUCUAGGGGAACAUCUACAGAUUCGAUCUUUCUACGGAAGGAGCUUCGACCUGGGAUGCUCCUCUUAGAUGUGGUGCUAUGCUCCAACCUCUUUCCCUUACAACAUUCGGUACAUAGGUGAUGAGCUAUUUUGGACGCUUUAUUCCGUAUAUCAGAGGGCUUCUACUUUGGCCCGCACCACUUGAUCAUGGUCUCCCUCAUCCACUUUGAGGAGAAGGUUCAUAGGAAGAAGCUUCAGAGGGUGGACACCAUUCCAUUACUAUUCCUGAGGUUACUUUGCCAGGUCUUGGAGUACAUGGGCUUUCCUACUGAGCCUCGGCUCGAGCUUUGCCGCCUUUGUCGAGAGUGAUCCACUCUCGACAAAUGGAAUUAGUUGGCGGGCUAUUCUGCACCUCCAGGAGCCCCUCCCAUGGUAGCACCUCCAAUGUCCCCACAGGCAAAGUAGGGCGAGCUCCCGGCAAAGACUGUACCACCAAUGCCCACACUUGAGGCUAUUUCUGCUGCUCUGCCUAUGACUCCUACUGUUCCACCAGUUGGUCCUUUUACAUCCGAGCCUUCCAUCACCAUCUCGGCUUCGGAGUUUCGCGCCCUUGUGCAUACCUUUCAGACACUCACCACCACACAUACUCCUCUCUUCUAGCAAAUGGUUGAGAUGUGUGCCCAUCAGGACCGGAAGACUACUAUACUCUGCCAAAUUCAGCAGCACCUAAGACUUUUGCCUCAACCUCAACCUAACCAUCCCAUAUCAUCAGAGCCUCUAGCUCCAACUGAGGAUACUAUUCCACCUGAGAACACUACCACAGUAGAGGUCCGGUUUCCACCACCUUAAGAGGCCACCACAGCUACAUCAGAGGAUGUGUCAUCUCCACUUGAGGCUCCCACUACUUGAUCAUAGGACAUAUCUUUAUCUUAUUGUAUUUACAUAUUAUAUUACUAGAGAUUUGUCCUUGUUUUGAUACUUUAUAUUCUGGGAUUGGAUGUAUUGCCUGAUGAUAUCUCAAUUGUACUUUCUCAUAUUAAUAUAUAGACAUCAAUUUUUUUUAGUAUACUUAGCAUUUUUCUAUUUCCUCUACUCAUUACUCUUUUGUUUUUUUUUACUCAUGUGGUUUCUCUUAUACAACUCAGACUCCAUUUCACUCAGGAGGUACCACUUCCUCCCUUUAUUUUCAAUUGCUCUUGAAAUAUUGAGUGCAAUGUUGAUCUUGGUUGGGGGGAGAGUUGAGGAAGGAAGUUUUGUUAAUAAUGCUAGGUUAAUUUGUUAAUUUAGUUACUUUCUGCUUAAUUUUAAAAGUUUUCACUCUACUUUCCAUGGUUAUUAAGGAAAAAUUCUCAAAAUGAAAUGGGAGAAAUCGAAUUCUUGCAUUUUUACUUGAAUCUUAGAAUUUGUAUCAUGCUUAUUAAAGUUGAUGAAUUAUUGAAACUCCUAUUGAAUUCAACCUUAUUUUUUCCACUUUAAUCUUACCACACACGGUGCACAUUAGGUUCCAGUUAUAAGAUAAAAAACUAUCUCACCCCCUAAACUUAGAAAAAUUUACACUUGGUACCUUUGACAUCGUUUUAAUAGUGUUGGGACACCUUAUAAAAGGCCAAUGAGCCUUUAAAAAAAAAAAAAAAAAAAAAAAGAGAAAGAACAAAGUAUUGCACUUGCCUUGAAACCUGAGCAAGAUCCGAGGGGUAUACAGUGAAAGUCUUUAAAACCUGGUGCCCUAAGCCUUGAUUGGUUGGGAGUCACCGACCUCAAUGCUCGUUAUAAGGGUGAAUAGGUGGAGUUUAACAUAUUGUAGGUGCUUGGGUAUUGAAUUUCAAUCUCAAAAGUCCGGGAAAAAAUCUAAGGAGUUAGUGGUCAAAAGAUCCUUAAAGCUUGAUGCCCUAAACCUUGAUUGGUUGAGAGUCAUUGAUGGAUCCCCGCUACAUGGACAUUUUAGAAAACAAUACCUUUAGCAUUGCACGCCUACAAUGAAAAAAAAAUGUGAAAUAAAAGAGGUGCGUUCUUAGCCUAUUGGAGGUUGGUCAGUUUGCUAAAGUUUGAGAAAUCUAGGUUGGGGGGAGAGAAUAGUCCGACAUACUAUAAUAAAAAACUAAUAACCUUAACACUUAGAUUUUUGUGGAAGAGUAAGGAUUGGACCUUUAGGGGUGGAAAUUCUUUUGAUGCUUAAAUUUGCAUAAUGCCUACUCUUUAUAAAUUAUGAUUAGGCAAGAGAUUUGAUGACUCUUGUUCAAAGUUGGGUUUUUCCUCUUUGAUGUUCCAUGAGAGAGUAUAAUCCUCAUCAUGCCACUUGAAAUCUUUUUGGAGUGAUUAACAUGAUUUUGUAAAUUAUUUUACUGUCUAUUUUUCUUUAUCUCUCUUUUAUUGCUAAUGGACUAGCAAUAUGUCAGUUGGGGGGAGUGAUUACUACUCAAAAAGUACUCUUUUAUAGCUUGAAACUAACUGUUUUAAACACUUUUGAGUAGGUGUUAAUACAUUUUAACUCAAUUGGCACAUUAAGGAACCUAACAAGGGUUACUAAUAAGUUUUUGGCAAGUUUUGGUGUUUUUGGUAGCUAUUUGAUCAUUGAAACAAGCCAAGAAUGAGGGAGAAUUUUGUGAAGUCCAUAGCAAUGCAAGUUAAAGCUCAAAUACAUGAAGAAUCCAAGCUUUGAAGCACUUCAUAGCCCUUUGCGAAGCCAAUCAGAGAUGCAAGGAAGAAAACCAGAGGAAAAAAUCCAACAACCAGCAUUUUCGCAUGGCUGUGCGAAAUUUUGCACACCAUGCGAAACCACAAGAAGUAGCCAAAGAAUUUUGCACACCAUGCGAAAUUUCGCAUGGUAUACGAAAUCUUCCUAUGCACCAACUCCGUUAUAUUUUUAUCUUCAGAUAUUUUGUGUAAUUUCCUAGUUUCUCCUUGUAACCAACCUAGAUAUUUUCUUUUAUAUCUUUUUUUUAUAUUUUUUAGGUAACAUCAUAUAUAGGGGGAGAGACAUAAGGAGGAUAUGGAUGUUUUUCAUAAAACACUUUUAAUUUUCUGGUAGUAAGAAAUAUACAAAGUUUUUUGCUCUGCCUUACCUUCUCAUUUUGUUUUCACCUAUCUUUCUAGCCAAACAACCUCUGAGAAUGAUUUCUCAGGGGAUGAGUAGUUAGGUUUUACGUUUCUUGGAGUGAGAGAAGCUAGGUGAAAGACCCAAAUGCUAAGGUGGGAGUUGUCCUUGCUUUAAAUGAAAGUAGUUGUUAAAUAUUAAUGGUUUUUAUUUUAAGGUUUAGCUUUAAAUCCCUUAAAAACACCUUGAAUGGCCAAUACUUGGUAAGCUUUUCGGAUUCUAUGGAUGCUUAUUGCUAGAUCCAUGGAUGUCAUUAGUUAUCAUUUAUGAGCCAUUGGAAGGUGGUUCAAGAUGAGAGUCUUUAGUGUUUGAAGCCAUUAAUGGGAAACAAUUACCAUUUUUUCAUGAAUCCUUUGGAUAAAAUCUUAAUUGCUAAAUAUAAAACUGGUUCGGGAGAUAACCAUCCUUUAUGUUAUUAUGCCCAAUGCAAGGAGAAGAUUUCGAAUCUUCUCAUUUGUCUAAGGAACCCGAUCCUAGUGACCUAAAGCUCCUAGAGACCUUUUCUUUGUAGUUAACUUCAUUUAUUGUUUUUGCUUAACUUAAAAUCAAUCUUUGCAACCACAAUUCCAUUUUCUUUAAAAGCUAAUUUUUAUAAGGAAAAGCACCAUUUUAUUUCCUUCACUAAGUCAACUGUAUGAUGAAAACCCAUCCCUGUGGACGAUCUUAGAGCCACUAUACUAUGUUAUCUAUGCUAUCCUAGUGUGAGGUGAUUUAGGUUUUAUAAAUUUUGUUGAUAACACCCGUCUGAGCCAGAAUCAAAUGGAACCACUGAACCAGGGACAAAUCAACAGCCUAUAUGGGAGGGACACAAGUUUAAUUGAUUUGCAUUUCAGCGUUAUAGAUAAGUAUGUUUUGGAAGAUUUGUUCUGGAAAUACUGCACCAAGUACGAUUCUUUUUCUCUUGAGUGAGUCCAUUUGCAUGCCAAUUAACGAGUUGAAAAGUAGGAGCACCUACCUCGUGCUCAUGGAACCGAAUGUCAGUGAAGUGGGGCUCCUUUUAGCCUCUUGUGUUUCUGUUCCAACCAAGGCGGCGUAGGGAAAAACAACAAUAUGUCUGUGCUAAAUAUCAACGCAUGAUAGAUGUUUUUUUUUUUUUUUUUGGUAUGUCAAGGCUAACGAAUGAAAUGCAUUAGCUUGUUUUGUGACUAUAACUGCAAAUGUCCAAAUUGGAGUAUCUCCAUUUCUCACUUCGGAUGGUUAACUUUAUAAACAAGAUAUAGGAAACAUGUGAACAUCUUGAGGAACAAUUCAAAUUAUUCAUUAGAAGUCCUGGGUUAAGUUCCAAGAUUUAAAUCAGACCCUUCUAGCAGCUUCAAGGGUACUUAGCAACCUAUAACAUAUUAAUGAAGAUUUAGGAUUUAGACUCCGGAAUACAAAUAAAUAUGUAUCUCAUGCUUUGACUAGCUUCCCUACAUAUGCAUAAAAUGGAGAUGACCCAAAAAAAAUAGCAGAAUCUAGCUUCCCUACAUAUGCACAAAAUGGAGAUGACCCAAAAAAUAGCAUAAUCGCCUUAGUUUCUGUGGUUAAGGUGAUUCUCCGCUUAAUAUCCACAUUGACUCAUUAUGCAAAAUCAACUGAGCUAAUUUUAUUUAUUUAUUUAAUGUCAAAUAGGAACUCCUAAUUAACUGAUUACUGUCGAAAAGUGCUAUUUUGUAGACCUAAUUAUAAGGGUUUUAAGCACCUUUGAGUAGUAAUCAUAUUCAUUUAACCUAAUUAAUUCAUUAAGCUCCUUAGUAAUUAGUUCUAACCAUUUUUAGUGGCAAGUUUACAUGUUUUUCAUCAGCUUAUGAACCAAUUCAAGCAUGCCAAUUGAUGGAGGAGCUACUUGGGCGAGUUAAGCAAGGAUUUUGGACGUUUACAGGCUUGAAUUUCAAGUGGAAACACGAGCACAAGCAAUGGGAACACCAUUUCGCAAGGGGAGGCAAUUCACCUUGCCAAAUGACCAAUUUCGCAAGGGGAUUUUCCUCAUGGUGCAAAAUUUGGUCAUUUCGCACCAUGAAGAAACCACCUUGCAAAAUUUCGCAAGGUGGAUUUAGGCACCUUGCGAAAUGCCAAAUUUCACAAGGUGGCUUUUCACCUUGCGAAAUUUGGACCUUUCAUCUUCCCCCCUUGCGAAAUGCCUUUGAAAUCCCCUGUUUUGAGACGCUGUUGAUGAUAUUCCACUGCCGGUUCUCCAAGAUAUUUUGCUUGACUUUUAGCUUUAUAAAUACCUAUUUUACCCUUGUAAUCAACCAAUGAAAAGGUUGCUUUUGUAAUAGCUCUUGUAAUUUAGCUUUUUAUUGUCUUUAAAUAGAGGUGAAGAGCCUCAGACACGAUCAUCUUGUAACCUGUAACUUUAUAAGUUAUAAGAGCACUUUUGUUCAUACGCUUCUUUUCUCUUUUCUUUCUCAUUUUCUUAGUAGCCAAACAUCCUUGGAGGAUGAAAUCCCCAAGGAUGAGAGGCUAAAACCUUUUAGUUUCUUGAAGUAAUGGAUGCCAUGUGAAGCUCCCGUGUCAGGAUGGAGAUUUCCAAGCCAUAAAUGUAAGUAGCUGAGCGUCAUAAAUGUUUUCAUUCAAAGUAAAGCUUUUAAUCCCUCUGACUUGCUUUGAAUGGCCAAUACUUGAUAACCUUUUGGUCUCAAUGGAUUCUUAUUGUUAGAUCCACUGACGUUCAUUAGUUAUCUCCUACGAGCCAUUGUAUUGCAAGUCGAGGAGAUGACCUAUACCAAUAAAAGAGCAUUUAUGAGGUUCAACUACCCUUUUUGUAAGUUUUCAAGGACUAAAACUCAGUUGUUAAACUCAUACCGGUUCGAGAAGUAAGCAUCACCUUAGUUGCUUCCCCAACUCGAGGUGAAAAGUCCCAAAAUCUCCAUUUUUACACAGUGAGUUAAGCAUGGCUAUCCAAAGCUUUAAGAAACUUCUUUUUCCAUCUUUUAACCUAUUUUCAUGUUAGUUUAGUUUACAACACCUUCAUCUUUUUAUGUUUUCAUCUUAACCUAAUUUUUAUUAAGAAAAGUUCACUCCAUCCUCCGAACUUCACCAGUUAAAGUAAAAACCCUUCCCAGUGUUCGAUCCUAGAGCCACUAUGCUAUAGUAGCUUUGCUACUUUAGUGUAAGGACCUUAGGUAUAAAUUUUGUUGAUACCCUUACAUGCCAAGCUACCAAGAGUCGGGUUAUCAUUAACCUAACCAUUGGCCUGUGUAAAUUGAUUUCACAUGCACAAUGUUGUAGUAGAAGUCCAUAUUUUGAAUUUUAUUUUUGUAAAGGUAAGGAAAAUGAAGCAUUGUGUAAUUAUAAAAAUAACUUCAUUGGAAUUCACAAGGUUCACCCAAAAUGGAGCUACAUCUGUAUUCUAUCCUACAGUAGACUAUAUAGAUUGUACAAUAGUAAAUUGCAAAUACAAUUAAUAAGUCUUGUGCUUCCUUACUAAUAAUCCUUUGACAUGAACAUUGCAGCACUAAGGUCCUCUUGGGAAGACACCUUGCACCCAUGAGAGCACUAAGAGGAAGCAAGGCAGAGUCAUGGGUGCAAUGUCAUGACUUGUUGUUGCACCAAGAGAGGCUUGGUGAUGCCAUGGUGUUGCAGUAGCAAGAAUGUUGCCUUGGCAGGGACACGAUCUAGGGAUAGAUGCCAAGAAAGGCUUAGCACUCACAUGAGUUGCACAAAGAUGAAUGUAAUAGAGCAUCAGAGAGACGUCUUGGCAAGUAAAUGAAUGGAUCCAAGAGACAACAACAUGAGGAGUUUCAAAUGGAUAAGGAAUGACUCAAAGACAUUUGAAAGCUACAAGUUGGAUUCUAAUUACGAUUGCAAUUUGAGUUUGAGUAGGAGUUUAGAUUUUGAUUGUAAUUGUAGUAUGAGUUGGACUAGGAUUGCUUAUCCUUAGUCAAUAUAGGAGCGGUUCGUGUCACCCUAUGAAAAGAGUUUGAGUAGGGACUAGGAUUGCUUACUCCUAGUCAAAUAUGGAGUAGGUGGUGCCACACCUAUAAAAAAAAGGGACAACAUGAGAGAGAGAGAGAGAGAGAAAGAGAGAGUGAAUUCACUAAAGAUAUUGUGGGAGUUUUGCUUUGUUACGUCUUGUAUUAUUACUUAGAAUAGGAAUAAAAUACAAGUUGGGGCUAGAGCCCCAUAAUUAAUCUCGUGUGCCUUUGUGGUUAUUCUUUAUUUGUCAUCUCGUGUGGAUUGGAUUAGGUUGACUUAGAGGGCUUCUAAGCACCACCUUUGUGGGUUAUUAUUUAUUUUCCAUCUCUUGUGGAUUAGAUUAGGUUGACUUAGAGGGCUUCUGAGCACCACCUUUGUGGGUUAUUAUUUAUUUUCCAUCUAUUGUGGAUUAGAUUAGGUUGACUUAGAGGGCUUUUAAGCACCACAUUUGUGGGUUAUUCUUUAUUUUCCAUAUCGUGUGGGUUGGAUUAGGUUGACAAGGAGAAAAAUUAUGUGGGAAAUUUGUGUUGGGACACUUACCAUAACCAAGUAAAAUCUACCAAGUCCUUUGUAAUAUCUUCAACAAAUAUUUUAGACUAGUUCUUUCAGUUAGUGUAAAGGAGGAAGAAGUGGUAUUGAUUCUAGAAAUAGGGUGUGUGUAUUUGAACUACAAUCCUUAUGAUCCUUAGGUCUCUAAACCUUCGUGAUGGGCUCCCUGACAUUUCAUAGGUUGUGCUACACAUGCGUUUGAAAUUUAGAGUGCGUUUGACAGUGAUUCCGGGAAGUGUUUUUGGCCUUUCUUACACUUGAAAAUUUUUAUUUUUCAAGUAUUAGAAAUGCUACAAACACUUUUGAAAAUUACUGUCAAACACACUCUUAGGAGCGCACAUAUAUAGUAGAAAACUAGAAAUUGUGGUUUUUUUAGGAUUUACUGUAAUGUCAUUAGGAGGGUAGUAAGUUGAAAUUGAGUAUGAACAAAUAUUUCUUUCUUUGGGAUGUUCUUCUAGUAGGUGCUGAUGAAACUGUUCUUUCUACUGCCAAUGUCACAUAUCAGCCAGAAAUUGAAAAUUUCAGUCAAGGUGUCCUCUGUUUUAGUGGUGAGGAAAGCUAGAAAUUUUAAGGUGAAGUUUUGUUAAAAACCUUAAGUAGCUGGGAUAUCAGGCCUGUUUUGCUUGAAAAAAAAAGUUGCAAGAUAACUCAUAUGCCAAACAGGUUCUGAUAUUGUGAAUCUAUCGGCAGACAUCAGUAAUCUCAUCUUCUGAGAUGGAUGUUGGGGGUGCAUGUGGUGGUGGAGGGGCAAGGUUUCAUUUGGUUUAUUUUGUUGAUGGAUAUUGUCUAGCCACCUGCGCCAAGUUUGAGGGGUGGUGGGUUGUGAUGACCCUACAAUUACUAUUAAUUUCUUCAUCUUUUACCGAUUAAAGUGUCCGAACAGUCGAAGUUACCCUUAUGCAUGUCAACUUGAUCACUUACCUCUUCAAUGGAGUUUAUGCUGGUUCAUUUAGGAACUGAUUUUUAUUGUUAUGUAUUAUAUGCUGAUGUUUAGGUCUCUCCAUCAUCACUAUAUACAAAAAUUCUAGGUUGAUACUAUAGGUUGAGAUUUAUUUUUUAAAUAAAAAAUAAUAAAAAUAAAAAUUAUGGUGAUGUUUAGUUGUUUUAUGGAAAAUUUUAACAAGUAAAAGUUAUUUUUGGGCAAGUUUUCAAACAAAAAGAAAAGUAAAAGUUGUUUUGACAAAAACAUAUAGAAAAAAAAAUCAUAGAAAAUAAAUAAUUUCCCCAUAUUCUAACUUUUUUGAAUUUUUCUCAAUGGGCAAAGGAAUAUCAAAUCAAGUUUGAGUAGGAUUUCUUAAUUUUUAAAAUAACUUACAAUUAAAAAAUUUUGGUGUUUUCAUUUUUGGACAAUUUUUUAUUAAGCAAAUGGACUCUGAGUCAUGCAAGAGAUAUGGUUCAUUAACCGGUCGAACAAUUUUUUUAAAUUAAUUUAAAAGUCAAAUACAUAAUCAAUUUCACAAAAUUUAUAAACAAAAAUAGGUUUAGAGAAGAUCUACACAUAAUUUUACUUUUCUAAUUUUAUUUUAUUUUAUUUUUUGUUGGAAAAUAGUCUUCAAAUCAUGUAAGAUUUAAUAGGUUAAAUUUGUUAACAAUAAAUUUUAAAUUAUAAAAUAUAAUCUGGAACUCAAAAAUCAAUUCAAGUAAUGCUAAAAAAAAAUCAAAUUUGGUAUAGAAUGACUUUGUAAAUUUUUUUACAAAACAAAUGAAUUUUAAAUCAAGUGAGAUUUAAUGCAUUAGAUUUUUAUCAAAUAUAGUAAUUUUAAAAAUAAAUUUGGAACUCAACAAUAGACACAAUAAAUACCAAAAAAUAAUGAACCAAAAUUGGUUUGGAAUAACUCCACAACCUUUUUUUUUUUUUUUUGGUGCACACGAAUUUUCUUACUAGGUAUAUUGCUUUCAAAUUGAGAAAGAUUUACCAUUUAGAUUUUUUUUUAAUGAGUUUAAUGGUAUUUUAAAAUAAUUCAAAAUUUAAAAAAUUGACUAAUUAAUAUUAUAAAUUGAUAAACCAAGACUAUUUCAAAAUGCAUUGGGGGCUAAGGGGGUUGAAAAUAGGGACAAUGGGAUGGGUUUGGGACAUGACACUCAUAUCUCAUUUCCAUUCCAAUUACACAGUUAUCUCCCAUCCUUAUCCCAAACUUGUGUUGGAGCAAGUUGAUUUGUUCCCAUCUUUGUUGACGAAAUGACUAAUAACCUCAUCCCCUCCUUAUCUUAGAUGUACAUUUUGUCAAAUUUGAUCAGGUAUGAUUGAUCCAAGCCCUAACCCUAAUUGGUAAUGAGUGAAUACUACACCUAAUUGCAUUCUUCUUUCAUUGCAAAAUAAUGAGAUUAUAAUAAUCUAGCAAAUAAGAAAAAAUAGUAUGGAAGUUCAAAUUAACACCAUAACUAUCAAUAAUUUUAAGCUUAUAGAUGACUUAAAUGAUUAAAAACUAAUGCAAAAUCCUAAAAAAAAUAAAAAUCAUAUAAAGAAUUCACAAGAGAACAGAAUGAACAAAAACCAAAUAUGAACAUGGGUCAACAUUAGUUAUGGAUUUGGAUUCCUUUCAAGGCCAAUCUUUGAACCAAGACUUCAUCAAAUCAACUACUUCAAAGGCUUUUGUGUUCUUCUUGGGUUGUGCUCUCAAACAAAGACUUCGAGGUGAUGUUCUAGAUGAUUGAAUUACACAUAUUUAGGGUGGAGAGAUUGGAGAAGCUUGAAGAUGCCAACGAUGGGUACAAUUGAGUGGUCAAUAAGAACAAUGUAGCCUAUGACUAGUUUGAUGUCAUGGUACAAGAGUUUUAGGCAUUGAGGUUAAAGCAAGAGCAACAUGGAAUUGAUUUCGGAGUCUUUCAGUUAGUGUAAAGGAGGAAGAAGUGGUGUUGAUUCUAGAAAUAGGGUUUUAAGUGGUGCGUGAUUACUACUCAAAAAGUGCUAUUUGAUAGCCUUUAAUUAAUCCUUUUUAACACUUUUGAGUAGUAGUUUAGGCCUUUUAACUCAAUUGGCAUGUUAAGGAUCCUUUAAAGCAAUUUUGAUCACUUUGUGCAAGUUUUGGUGUUUUUGUUAGUAUUUUGAUCACCAAAGCAAGUCAAGAAUGAGGAGAACUAUGAGGAAUCAUGGGCAAAGCUUAGAAUUCAAUUGCCAAGAGUGAAUCCGGAUUGCAAGGAGAAAAAGCAAAGAGAAUCUGUCAUGAAGCCUAUUCUUGAUGACAGUCGUAGCAGCCACUUUUGGAGCACUUUCUGAAGUCCAAAUGAUGCAAGCUAUAUACCAUUUCAAAGAUCAGGAAGUCAACAAUCCAAUGCUUCAAACGGUGCGCGAUUCGGAGUUGAAACGAAGAAGUUGCAGCCAUUACAAGCCAGUCACUCUAAAGUGUUGCGGAAUCAGCCUUUUGUUGCGAGAAUUUCGCAGCACUUUUGUACAGUAAGGUGUUUCUCCUUCUGACGAUGCACGAACCAUGCCGCGAGAGGGAAGCUAGGAACUUCAAGAUGGAAGCCAACUUUGCAGCCUGGUGAAGAUAGCUUGGUCUUGCGAAAUAAUUUCGCAGCCCUCUUGGGUGUCUGCGAAAUUUCGCAGGCACCACUUUUUUCCUGCGAAAUGGCUCCGGAAGCCUCCCGAAGCUUGCUACCGACAUUGGGAGAUAUUUUCCAUUAGAUUUUUGUUGUCUAAAUUCCAAAAUACUCCUUGUAAACCACCAAUUACAUGAUUCCUUAGUUUUUAAGUUAGUAAAAAGACCAAAUAUCUAUGUAAUAAUUAGUUUUAUAUUAGUUUGCUAUAAAUACCUCUCGGGAGCAUGUUCUCAGAGAGGAGUUCCUUCUGUAACCAUUUUGGUAAGCAAGUAAAGUCUUUUCUUUCUACUGCCUUACCUUCUCACUUUGUAUUUUCAUUUUAUUUCUAAGUUAUGAAUUCUCUGAGGAGCUUUCCCCAGAGAAUGAGUAACUAAACCUCCAAUUCCUUGGAGCUAAGGUUGCCGGGGAAGGUUCCAAGUGCAAGAAUGCAAAGCUCUGUGGUUUUAGCUAGUAAUGAAGAGGAAGUGAAAUCCUUUAGUGAUUUCAAUGUUUUUAGUUAACUUAAAACACCUUGGAGUCACCUGGGCCAACACUUGGUAAGGCAAGUGAUUUCCAACCGUGGAAAUGCACUAGUUUACCCCUUGCGAGCCUCUGGUAGGUGACUUCAAGGUAGGAUUUUCUGGAAUUACCAACACUUGGUAAGCUUUUGGACUCCUAGGAGACAUCCAUUAGUUAUCUCUUGCGAGUUUGUGAAGGGGAAUCCAAGGUUAAAGAUCACCUUGAAUGGUAAGUGCUCGUGAGAGGCAUGAACCAUUGCAAGUUGUAUCAGUGAGAGAAUUAAAGUGAAAUCUAAUUGAAGGAGUCUCUGUACAUCACCGGUUAGAGAAUUGACUAUAAGUUGAAUCUCUAAUGCGAGGAAAUGAACCAUCUGACCGGAGCUAUGUCUUUUGCAUGAGGAACCACCCCAGUGAACCUAAAUCUCCAAGGAAUGCUUUUCUUCCUAAAUUAUUCCAAACUUCUGUUAAGUUAGUUAGUUUAAGUCUAAACCUUUACCAAUCAAACUUUGUGUUUUAUUUCUUAAGCUAACCGUGAAAUGAAACAAAACCAAUUCACUUGGAAUUGGUAUCCUUGAUUGCUUGCAAAUCAUUCCCAGUGAACGAUCCUUAGAGCCACUAUACUAUAGUAGCUUUGUAUUUGCUACCCUAGUGUAUGGUGUUAUAGGUAUAAAUUUUGUUGAUCACUUCCUCAAUCAAGGAACACCAGCUGAACACAAAUCAGCUGAGACACCAAUUGGGCAUGAGUCAAAUGGCGCCGUUGCCGGGGAAUGAGUGUCAAGAUCAUUGUGAUACCAUUUUUGAGCACUUGUGAUUUUCAUCACAAGUUGGUAAAGUUUCUUUCACUUUACUAAUUUUCAUUCUCUCUUUGUUUAUUUACAAUCUAAGUUUAUCUUUUUAAAAUUUAGUCUAGUUUAAUUUUGCUAUUGUAGCCUUGUUUCUCUUGUUGUCCUCUGUUCUUGUUGUCCUCUGUUUUCAUUUUAGUUGCAGCUGAAUACUAGUUGUGUAUGCCAAAGUGGAUACGAGACAUUGGAGGUAGGCUUAUUAAGUGUGAUACACCUCAGAGAGGAGAAUUGGAAGUAAUCUUGAAUAUCAUGGAGGCUGCACCUGAAGAUCAGCAUAGUCACCAAGGUCGUCAAGACAAUCUCAAUGAAUUCAGAUCAAUGAGGGACCGUAUGCAUCCACCUCGUAUGAGUGCACCAUCAUGUAUAGUGCCCCCUACAGAGCAACUAGUGAUCAGACCAUAUCUUGUUCCACUUCUACCAACUUUCCAUGGGAUGGAAAGUGAGAAUCCGUAUGCACACAUCAAGGAAUUUGAAGAUGUUUGUAAUACAUUCCAAGAGGGAGGAGCUUCAAUUGAUUUGAUGAGGCUUAAGUUAUUUCCUUUUAAUUUAAAGGAUAAGGCCAAAAUUUGGCUUAAUUCUUUAAGGCCAAGGAGUAUCCGCUCUUGGACUGAUUUACAAGCUGAAUUCCUCAAGAAAUUUUUUCCUACUCAUAGAACAAAUGGCUUGAAAAGGCAAAUUUCAAACUUCUCAGCUAAAGAGAAUGAGAAAUUCUAUGAGUGUUGGGAAAGAUACAUGGAAGCUAUAAAUGCUUGUCCUCACCAUGGCUUUGAUACUUGGCUACUGGUGAGUUAUUUUUAUGAUGGUAUGUCCUCCUCAAUGAAGCAACUCCUCGAGAAAAUGUGUGGAGAAGAUUUCAUGAGCAAAAAUCCAGAGGAAGCUAUGGAUUUCUUGAGCUAUGUAGCUGAUGUUUCAAGGGGAUGGGAUGAACCAACUAAAGGAGAAGUGGGAAAGAUGAAGUCUCAGUUGAAUGCUUACAAUGCAAAGGCUGGGAUGUAUACUUUAAAAGAGGAUGAUGACAUGAAAGCAAAGUUGGCAGCUAUGACAAGAAGAUUGGAGGAGCUGGAGCUGAAAAGAAUGCAUGAAGUGCAAGCUGUUGCUGAAGCACCAGUGCAAGUGAAGUUGUGUCCCAAUUGUCAAUCGUUUGAACAUUUGGUAGAGGAAUGCCCUGCAAUUUCAGCUGAAAGGGAAAUGUAUAGAGAUCAAGCAAAUGUUGUUGGACAAUUCAGGCCCAAUAACAAUGCUCCUUAUGGAAAUACCUACAAUUCAAGUUGGAGGAAUCAUCCAAAUUUUUCAUGGAAGGCCAGAGCAACUCAAUACCAACAGCCGGAUCCACCAUCUCAACAAUCUUCAAGUAUUGAACAAAUAAUAGCUAAUCUCAGCAAGGUAGUGGGAGAUUUUGUGGGAAAGCAAGAAGCCACCAAUGCUCGAGUGGAUCAAAGAAUGGACAGAGUGGAUCAAAGAAUGGACAGAAUGGAGAGUAUGUUGAACAAAAGAAUGGAUGGAAUGCAAAAUGAUAUGAAUCAAAAAUUUGAUAACAUCCAAUAUUCAAUUUCAAGGCUUACAAAUUUGAAUACACUGCAAGAAAAGGGAAGAUUUCCUUCUCAACCUAACCAAAAUCCCAAAGGUGUCCAUGAAGUGGAAAGCCAUGAGGGAGAAUCAUCACAGGUGAAAGAUGUGAAAGCUUUGAUCACUCUAAGGAGUGGUAAGAAAAUUGAGCAGCCAACACCCAAGCCACAUGUUGAGAAAGAAGAAGAGAUGAAGAAAGGGAAGGAAAUGGAAGAUAAAGGCAGUGAGAUCAGUGAAGAAAAGAAGGACUCUGAUGCAACAAUGAAAGUAAUUCCAGAGAAGGAGCUUCUGAAGGAAGAAAUGCUGAAGAAAUCAACUUUUCCACCUUUUCCUCAAGCAUUACAGGGGAAAAAGGGGGUUAGAAAUGCAGCUGAAAUCCUAGAAGUAUUGAGGCAAGUGAAAGUUAAUAUUCCACUGCUGGAUAUGAUCAAACAAGUUCCAACGUAUGCAAAAUUCCUAAAGGACUUGUGUACUAUCAAAAGAGGGUUGACUGUAAACAAGAAAGCCUUCUUGACUGAGCAAGUAAGUGCAAUCUUACAGUGUAAGUCUCCUUUGAAGUACAAAGACCCUGGAAGUCCUACCAUUUCAGUCAUGAUUGGAGGAAAGGUAGUGGAGAAAGCCUUGCUAGACUUGGGAGCAAGUGUGAAUUUGCUUCCAUAUUCUGUCUACAAGCAACUGGGACUUGGAGAGUUGAAGCCAACAGCAAUCACUUUGUCUCUGGCAGAUAGAUCAGUGAAAAUUCCAAGAGGGGUAAUUGAGGAUGUAUUGGUUCAAGUAGAUAAUUUCUACUAUCCUGUAGAUUUUGUUGUUCUUGAUACAGAUCCUACUGUAAAGGAAGCUAAUUUAGUUCCUAUCAUCCUUGGAAGGCCAUUUCUUGCAACUUCAAAUGCAAUCAUCAACUGUAGAAAUGGGCUUAUGCAACUCACUUUUGGUAACAUGACACUGGAUCUAAAUAUUUUCUAUAUGUCUAAAAAGCAAAUCACUCCAGAAGAAGAAGAGGGUCCAGAAGAGCUAUGUAUUAUUGAUACUUUGGUGGAGGAGCACUGCAAUCAACAUAUGCAAGAUAAGUUGAAUGAAAGUUUUGUGGAUAUUGAGGAAGGUUUUUCUGAAUCUCCUAAUGGGCUUGCUACUCUACAAAGUUGGAGAAAGAUAGAAGGAAUUCUACCUUUGUUCAAUGAAGAAGAGGAGGCAGCUGUUGAAAAAGAAAUUCCAAAACUCAAUCUGAAGCCUUUACCUAUGGAGCUGAAAUAUACAUAUCUUGAAGAAAAUAAUCAAUGUCCUGUCGUAAUAUCUUCAUCUCAAACCAAGUCUCAAGUGAAGGAUGCAAGCUUCAAAUGGGAUCCGGGCAAACUGAAUCAGGAAGGGCAAAAAGUUUUGAUGUAUGACACAAGACUCCAUAUCUUUCCUGGGAAGCUCAAGUCAAGGUGGAUUGGUCCAUUUGUUAUUCACCGAGUAUAUUCCAAUGGAGUGGUGGACUUAUUGAAUUCCAAUGGCAAGGACAGCUUUAGAGUCAAUGGAUAUCGUCUUAAGCCGUUCAUGGAGUCAUUCAAAUCAGAAAAGGAGGCAAUCAACCUCCUUGAACCUCAAAAAGCCUAAGUGAAAUGGGUUUGCUGGACGUGGUUUUACCACAGUCCAAAAAUUUUUGUAAAUUUUGUAAAUUUUCAAGUUGUUUCCAUGCUUUUAAUCUUAGUUUUUGAUUUUAAAUCAUGUUUUUAGGUGUGUUUUAAUCGUUUUAUAUGAUCCCAGGCGGAAGAAAUUUCAAGGGGAUUGAAAAGAAAAAAAUCGGGUCGAAAUUGGAGCCGAAACAGAGCAAAAACAGGGGAAAAACAGAGCUCUGCGAAAUUUCGCAGGGUGAAGGAAACUUCUGCGAAAUUGGCAUUUUGCUGCCAAACCAUUCCGCAGCACUGUAGAAGCCUCUGCGAGUGUAUUUCGCAAUUGCGAAAGUGGAUUUGGCACACGAGUGCCACUUCGCAGCACAGUGACAUCAAUUUCGCAGCUGCGAAACUCACUGCGAAGUUGCUGCGAAAAUGGCAAGUUGCUGCGAAAUUGGCGUUUUGUUGCGAAACGUAAUCUGACCCCUGGGCUUCCGUUUUUCCUAUUUAUACCUGUCAAAAGUGCUGCGAAAAAGGUUUCAAAAAUUAGAGCACCAUUCUCGCAGCCCUUUCAUCUUCUUCGCCAAGCCACGCCGUCCGUUUCUCCGGUCGUCUUCUCCGUUUAGCAGCGCCGGCCAAAGAUCGAUAGCCCAAAAAUGGCACGAACGCGAGGGGCAAAGUCUUCAUCCCCUUCGAACCGCAAAAGGAGUCUGCGAAAGGAGCCAAGUUCAGGCUCUGUUCCAGAACCUGCUCCAAAGCCUUCGCCGUCGAGACCACAACCUUCUCCAGUGAAGCCGGCGCCACCAAAGCCGCCGGCAAGGCGAUAUUUAACCAGGUCAGGUGGUCAGCCAUUGAAGAAGAAAGCCAGAGUUGAGAGCUCUGAACCAAUCGAUUUGACUGAGCAAUCCCCUGAGAAAUCACCAAAUCCUUCACCGGUACAAAUUCCAGUGCCAUCACCGGUUCCCUCGCCAAUUCCCUCACCAGAAGCAACUCCAAUUCCAUCGCCGGUACCAUCUCCGGCACCCCAAGAAAAAGCUCAGGAGCCUCAAGCGCCAAUUCCAGAGCCCCAAAUUGCAGCUGAAGCACCUCUGGAAGAAGUGAUCCGAAGGCCAAUGCUGCCUCAGCCCCCAAUCGAAGGAAACCUGGAUUGCCGAACUCGGGCAUUCCAUUCUGAGCUUUGCUUCGAUUUAACAGCAUUCAGAGUGAGGCCAGAGCUUGCCCAAUCCUUCCAACUGCUGAGGAGAUAUCAUAUGGAGCAUCUGCUAGCUCCAAGGGAUUUUUUCUAUCCCCGGGUAGUCACGGAUUUCUACCAAACCAUGACAACCAAAGAAGUAAGAAAUCCAACUCUGAUUCAUUUCAUAAUUGAUGGAAGGCAUGGUAUUUUGGGAGCAAGACAUAUUGCUGAAGCCCUGCAAAUUCCUUUUGAGCCAACUCAAUUCGACAAUUUUAAAGCUUGGACAAAUCCUACUGAGUUAGAGAUGGUUAGCACACUAACCAGAGGAGCUGCAAAUCGAUCGCAUUUGUUGAGGGGGGAGCUACCUCCAGUUAUGUUUUUGAUUGAUGCCUUUUUGAGGCAUAAUAUCUAUCCCCUGCAGCAUUGGACCCAAAGAAGGGGAAUUCUCCUAGAAGCCUUGUACAAAAUGUCUGAAGGAUUCUUCUUUGGGCCUCAUCAUCUGAUCAUGGCAGCCCUUCUAUACUUUGAGGAGAAGGUUCACAAGAAGAAGCUUCAAAGAGCAGAUUGCAUUCCACUCCUCUUCCCAAGGCUGCUAUGCCAAGUUUUGGAGCAUCUCGGAUACCCCUCUGAGCCUCAGCAGGAAAGAAAGAGAAUAUGCCGUGAGCCUUUUACCCUUGAUAAAUGGAAUAAUAUGACGGCCUACAAAAUUGAUCAGCCUGGGCAGCCUCAGCCAGCAGCAAGGAGAGUCUCCCCAAGACAUAUACCUGAAGGUAUAACACUUGCUACUCCUGCCAUCCCUCGAGCUCCACCAGCUGCACCUGCUCCAUCACAGCCAUCCACAUCAGCUGAGCCGAGGAUGGCCAUCCCUAUAUCCGAAUAUCGAGAGCUGUGCCGUGCAUUGGAGACUCUUACAGCUUCUCAGAGCAAUCUUGCUCAGGAGUUGGCAGCCAUUAAAGCAUGCCAGGAGCAGAUGUUAGCCUCUCAGACUCAACAAGCUGCCAUCCUAAGGCAGCUUCAAGUCCAUUUCGAUCUGCCACAAGCUGUAGAGCCCUCUAUUCCUACUCCACCAGAGCCACACUCUCAGCCUUCAGAGUCUCAUCCUCCAGAACCCGAAGCACCAGCUGAUCCACCUACUGAGGAGGCAGAUCCUUCUGCCUAGCACCAUCACCCCCCUCAUCAGACAUUAUAUAUAUAUUUGCUGUUUAUGUUUUUAUGCAUGUUUGUUUUGUUUUAGUUGAAAAGAAAUCCCAGUAUUUUGGUACUAUAUAUGGGAUUCCUUGUGUUACUUGUCUUUAGUAUUGUAAUCACAUGAACUCAAAGUAAUACAAGUUGACUAUUUCUUGUUAAAAGUUAGCAUUAAAGUUUCCUUAUUUCCUUUUCUCACAUAUUCUAUUCUUUUUGAAACAUGUGGUUUUCCCCAAUCAAUAUUCGAAUUUGAUAUCAGCAUGGAGGUACCACUUCCUCCCUUUUAUUACAGUCACUCAAAUCACAUUGAGGACAAUGCUCAGUUCGGUUGGGGGGUAUGAGGAAGGAAGUAUUCUAAACCUUUUUGGUAUUGCAAUUAUAUUGGUUAAUUAGUUGUAGAUUUUACUUUUUACUAGUGUUACUCUAUUCUCCAUGAAUUUUGAGGAAAAAUUUUCAAAUUAAACCAAGAGAAAUUGAACUGUUGUUUUUCACUUGACUUAGAGUAUGGAUUAUGCUUACUAAAGUGGUUCAAUUGUUGAAACUUCUACUGAAAUUGAAUUGAGUUCUUCCACUUUAAGCUAUCCACACACUGUGCACAUUAGUUUCCGAUUAUAAGAUGAAAAGCUAUUUCCCUCUUGACUUAGUAUAUUUUUGGGACUUGGUAUAUUUGACCUCAUUUGAUAAAAAUUGAAACACCCUGCAAAAGGCCAAUGAGCCUUUGAAAUAAAGAAAGUUGUUUGCUUGCCUUGAAACCCGAGCAAGGUCUGAGGGGUAUAUGGUGAAAAUCUUUAAAGCCUGGUGCCCUAAGCCUUAAUUGGUUGGGAGUCACCGACCUCAAUGCUCGUUACAAGGGUGAAUAGGUAGAGUUAGCAUAUGGUAGAUGCUUGGGUAUUAGAAAUUCAUUCUUAAAAGUCCGGGGAAAAAUCCGAGGAGUUAGUGGUUGAAAGAUCCUUAAAACUUGGUGCCCUAAACCUUAAUUGGUUGGGAGUCAUCGAUGGACCCCCAUUACAUGGACAAGUCAGAAAGAGUACCCCAUAAAGCUACCUUAAAAAAAAAAAAAAAAAAAAAAAAAAAAAAAAAGAUGAAAGUGUGUUCUUUUCUUAUUGAUUUUGGUCAGUUUGCUAAAGUGUUGAAAAGAGAUAGGUUGGGGGGUGAGAUUAGUAGCAUAUUAUUCUCGGAACCUAAGGAACCAAUACACAUAGAUUUUUGUGGAAGAUUGAAGUUUAGUUCUUAGAAAAUGAAAUGAUUUUAAAACUUCAGUUUGCAUAAUGCACUCCCUUGAUUGACAGUGUUUAGCAUAGGUGUUAUGACUCUUGUUGAGAUUUGGGUUUGUAUUUCUUUAAUGAUUCAUGUGAGAAAUAGAUCAUCAUGCCACUUGAGAAUUAUUUUCCUUUUAGCAUGAUGUUGUAAAUUUUAGAUUAGUUUGCUAUUUAUUUUUUAUUUUCUCUCCUAUAUUGCUAAGGGACUAGCAAUAUGUCGGUUGGGGGGAGUGAUUACUACUCAAAAAGUGCUAUUUGAUAGCCUUUAAUUAAUCCUUUUUAACACUUUUGAGUAGUAGUUUAGGCCUUUUAACUCAAUUGGCAUGUUAAGGAUCCUUUAAAGCAAUUUUGAUCACUUUGUGCAAGUUUUGGUGUUUUUGUUAGUAUUUUGAUCACCAAAGCAAGUCAAGAAUGAGGAGAACUAUGAGGAAUCAUGGGCAAAGCUUAGAAUUCAAUUGCCAAGAGUGAAUCCGGAUUGCAAGGAGAAAAAGCAAAGAGAAUCUGUCAUGAAGCCUAUUCUUGAUGACAGUCGUAGCAGCCACUUUUGGAGCACUUUCUGAAGUCCAAAUGAUGCAAGCUAUAUACCAUUUCAAAGCUCAGGAAGUCAACAAUCCAAUGCUUCAAACGGUGCGCGAUUCGGAGUUGAAACGAAGAAGUUGCAGCCAUUACAAGCCAGUCACUCUAAAGUGUUGCGGAAUCAGCCUUUUGUUGCGAGAAUUUCGCAGCACUUUUGUACAGUAAGGUGUUUCUCCUUCUGACGAUGCACGAACCAUGCCGCGAGAGGGAAGCUAGGAACUUCAAGAUGGAAGCCAACUUUGCAGCCUGGUGAAGAUAGCUUGGUCUUGCGAAAUAAUUUCGCAGCCCUCUUGGGUGUCUGCGAAAUUUCGCAGGCACCACUUUUUUCCUGCGAAAUGGCUCCGGAAGCCUCCCGAAGCUUGCUACCGACAUUGGGAGAUAUUUUCCAUUAGAUUUUUGUUGUCUAAAUUCCAAAAUACUCCUUGUAAACCACCAAUUACAUGAUUCCUUAGUUUUUAAGUUAGUAAAAAGACCAAAUAUCUAUGUAAUAAUUAGUUUUAUAUUAGUUUGCUAUAAAUACCUCUCGGGAGCAUGUUCUCAGAGAGGAGUUCCUUCUGUAACCAUUUUGGUAAGCAAGUAAAGUCUUUUCUUUCUACUGCCUUACCUUCUCACUUUGUAUUUUCAUUUUAUUUCUAAGUUAUGAAUUCUCUGAGGAGCUUUCCCCAGAGAAUGAGUAACUAAACCUCCAAUUCCUUGGAGCUAAGGUUGCCGGGGAAGGUUCCAAGUGCAAGAAUGCAAAGCUCUGUGGUUUUAGCUAGUAAUGAAGAGGAAGUGAAAUCCUUUAGUGAUUUCAAUGUUUUUAGUUAACUUAAAACACCUUGGAGUCACCUGGGCCAACACUUGGUAAGGCAAGUGAUUUCCAACCGUGGAAAUGCACUAGUUUACCCCUUGCGAGCCUCUGGUAGGUGACUUCAAGGUAGGAUUUUCUGGAAUUACCAACACUUGGUAAGCUUUUGGACUCCUAGGAGACAUCCAUUAGUUAUCUCUUGCGAGUUUGUGAAGGGGAAUCCAAGGUUAAAGAUCACCUUGAAUGGUAAGUGCUCGUGAGAGGCAUGAACCAUUGCAAGUUGUAUCAGUGAGAGAAUUAAAGUGAAAUCUAAUUGAAGGAGUCUCUGUACAUCACCGGUUAGAGAAUUGACUAUAAGUUGAAUCUCUAAUGCGAGGAAAUGAACCAUCUGACCGGAGCUAUGUCUUUUGCAUGAGGAACCACCCCAGUGAACCUAAAUCUCCAAGGAAUGCUUUUCUUCCUAAAUUAUUCCAAACUUCUGUUAAGUUAGUUAGUUUAAGUCUAAACCUUUACCAAUCAAACUUUGUGUUUUAUUCCUUAAGCUAACCGUGAAAUGAAACAAAACCAAUUCACUUGGAAUUGGUAUCCUUGAUUGCUUGCAAAUCAUUCCCAGUGAACGAUCCUUAGAGCCACUAUACUAUAGUAGCUUUGUAUUUGCUACCCUAGUGUAUGGUGUUAUAGGUAUAAAUUUUGUUGAUCACUUCCUCAAUCAAGGAACACCAGCUGAACACAAAUCAGCUGAGACACCAAUUGGGCAUGAGUCAGUGCGUUAGAGGAUCAAGAAGAAGAAAAAGAAGGAACUGUUGGAAUUAGUAUGAGUGUGAAGAGAAAAGUAUAUAAAUAAGGGGAAGUAAAAGCAAAGUUCAAAAAGCUAUAUUUUUUUAUUGUUGGUGUAUGGUUGCAUGAUUAUCCCUAUAAAUAAUAGGAGUUUUUUGGUAUUCUACUAGUAGUUGAAGCAUAAUUUCAUAAAUUAAUAUUUAGAGCGGGGUGGGGUGAGUUGUGACAAAAUUCAUACCCGUCCCAAACCUUGGUUCAGAUUUUUAAAAUAUUCUCAAACUUAUCAUAUACCCAACUUUUAUAUUUCAUACUUGUCCUAAUAGAGGCACGUUAGGCCGGGUUACUUGAGUAACCUACAUAAUUGUCAUCCCUAGUUGAAAUACACUUUUUGGCAGUGGCCACCAACUGAGCUAGAAGCUUGAUUGAUUGACCUACAAGAUUAGUUCUCAUCAUUUUAAAAAAAGUUCUGGCUUUGGUUGUGAGUGCAAUUGAAUCUAAACUGGCAUUUGCUUAAUGCAUCUACUUCAAUCCUAAACUUCUUACUUCUUAAGCCUCAAUUGUUGUUAGGAUUUUGGAAAACCCAUUUCCUUAAAUUGUAAAUUUAAGAUAAAAUAAAAUAAAAGUGAGACAUUUCUUGAUUGAAUAUUGUUAAAGGUCCCUUGGCAUUAAGACUUGGUUGAAGCCUUGGAAGAUUAGUGGAACUCUCAACAUGUGUUUGAAUCUUGAGGAGAGUGGAUGUAAGCCAAAAUUUUGUCAAACCAUUAUACAAAUUGAGUUUGAAUCCUCAUUUCUUGAUUUCUUAUUUAUUUGCUUUUUCUUAUUAUUACUUGAAUUGUCAUUUGCAUUCAUUAAUGUUAAAAUUGGUUAUAAUUAACCAACACUAAUUCUCUUUCCCCUUCCCUUUCUUGGGUGUAAACCUAGGUUGGAUUAACUAGAUAAAUCUAUUAAGAUGGUAAAAGAAUAAUUAUUCUUAACAUACAUAAGAUCAUCUUCAAUCAAAUGACUCAUUGGCUAAUAUGUUGAAUUUGCUUAUUACUUGCAACUCAAAAUUGUGUUCUAGUUGUGUCAAGUCCCCAGUGUAUGGACAUUAAAUUUGUAGUACGUGAUGAGUAAUUAGAUGGUCCAACUCCAAGAAAGUGAUUGAAAAGUAGUUCAAGAAAGGUGCAAAAGGGAAUUGUUUUGGUAUUUUCGUUUUUAUUCUUGAAGGUGGCAGAGCUAAAAUUUGAGAAAUCAAGCAAAACAUACUGAAAUUACAUUGAAAGAAAGAAGAUGGGAGUUAAUGUCUUGCAGUACAUGAUAAGGACUUCAUGCAUGUAGUGUGACCCAUGUCUUGGACUGAUGCCAACUCACGGUUACACUUAUACCCUUGGUUCUCUCUUUACUACCUUGGCUAACCUAGAUCAGGCUAUGAGAUAGGCUCCUCACCACACCAUUACUUGCCCAUUAAUUAGAGACAUUUUCAAGCAAUGAGGUAACAUGGUGACACCAAGAGGGUCUAUUCCUCGCCCGGAACAAGUCUAGACUUGGUCUCAAAAAAAUGGAGAAAAAUGAGGUGUCGUUAUGUAGAAAUACAACAACCAUGCCUUCCUCAUUACUUAGAUUCAGAAUGUGAAGGUGAAAUUGAGAAACAGAAACUCUUGAAACCAAAAUGAAAAUUGAUACUUUUACGAAGAAUUACAACAACAUUAGAGGAAGACUACAUUCUUCCUCUUUAUUCCUACAUUUCUACACUACUUCUACUCCACUCCAUAUUUCUACAUACAUCUUUAAUCAGUCUUCCCUCCUUUAUAUAGAGCCAUCUUCACACAAAUUUCGCAAGGUAGAAAAGAGGAAUGAAACUUGGAGCAAGGUUCGACUACUGGUUGUAGCUUGUCAAGGCUGGAAGUGAACUUUUCUUGGCUUUCUGGGCAUGGGUAGUAACUUGUGGGUUCCUGUUUGGCAUAAAAAUGGCUAGAACAUGUGGCACUAUCUUGUUGGAUGAUGUGUCAAGCAUGUGGCAGCCAUCUAGUGGCGAUUAUGUCAAUUUUGGGAUGGAGAGUUGGCAUCCAAUUGCAAAGAAAUAUGACGUCUACCAACAUGCAAUGUAAACCUAUGUAGAUCAUAUGAAGAUAGAGAGGAAAAAUAUAGAAAUGGAUAUAUACCUAGAACUAGCUUUUUAUUAAAUGAAACGGAGAGACAACAAUGAAGGAAAAUAAAAUUUUUUGGCUUAUAUCAAAGAGUUCACAUUGUGUUACCCUAGGUUUUCUUAAAACUUACUUUUAUGAUAACAAAAAAGAAAAAACCAUUAUUGUUUAAUCCUUUGUUUUAAACGCAUGUAAGGUGUAAUUAAGUUAGUUCAAUGCAUUAAUUUAAGAAACUUGACCUAUCAAAAGUACAAAAUUAGAUGAAAUCCAUUUCAAUGGUUAAAAUGAUCAAAAUCAAACUUUUUCUAAGUAUUUUUUAAAAGCAUCAAUAGUGAAAGACAAUUUUAUAUUUAGUCGGAGUUUGGACAAAACUGAAAAACACACAAAAUCCAAGCGACCAUCUCUAGCUUGGAUGGUCGCUUGAUCCCACCUAGAGAUGUGCAUGAGUAAAAGGAUUUGAAAAUGGAAAUUGACUAUGUAGUCGAUCAAUUAACUUUGCAACAUCAUAUGCAAUCCUAAUUGCUAGUCAUCUAAUCAAUUAGGUAGUCAAUCAACAGGCCAAAAAUAUGUUUAUAAUGACUAUUUUGUACAAAAACCACCUGUAUAGUUAAAUAUAAUGCAUUUCAUUUAUAAAUCUUCUAAUUCUUGAAUAACGAUCCUAUCAUCCUUUGAAAGUUUUUAUUACACUUUUUUUACUUUUGUUCUAAAACUUACACAUCACCCUUAAUUGUACCAUGAGAACCUAGCUAUUUUUUAUUUUUUUUUUUGUAAUUCAUCAAAGUUAGCUUUUGUAUUCAUUGUUGUAUUAUUUUUAGUAUAACUUAGAAAGCUAGUGUUUUCAAGUGAGUAAAAUUAACUUGUAAAUAUUGUAAAGAUUCAUCGACAUGUAUCUUAAACUAAGUGUACAAGUUAAAACAUUUGCUAGUAGAUUUUCUCAAAAUUUAGAAUAGAGCUUGAGACUAUUGAAAUAGGUGGGGUUGCACCAAACCACAUCACAUCGUUGUUUGCACCUUUUUUCACUCUCUUUUACUUAGUUGCUCUAUAUUUGUUGUCUAGUAAUAUCCUAUAGGCUUGAUGGGUUAGGGAGCAUCCCUUUGUGAAAAAAUUUUAUUCAAUCCUUAGUUGUAUCACGCAUAUAUAAAAUGCCUCAUUGUUUUAAUGGUAUUCAGUCGUGGCAUCACAGAUAUGGGCAUCUAAAUUUUAAAAGUUUGAAACUUUUAUCUAAAGAAAAUAUGGUGCUUUGCCUUUUUGUAAAGCAUGUUGAUGAAAUCCAUGAGAAUUGUGUACUUGGGAAGCAACACCGAGAUGACUUUUUUUUUUUUUUUAUAAUAUUGUUUGUCCAAAUUCCCUACAAAUUAGGCCACCAGAUGUUCAUAAUUCUCCCUUCUUGAAUUUGAAAACUCGGACAAUUGGACAAUGCGACACCUAAGUCCGGUUUCUAAAUGCUAAAGUGAAAGGGUAGGUAUGGACCAUUGAAAUGUGAUCACAACUUUUCUCUGUAGCCAUGUUGUCUCUUUUUUCUUUUGCAUGAUUUUCUUACCUUAACAGAAUCAUAGACUUGUUUAGUCUCUAAAUGGGAUUAAUUUCAUCCAGCUUUAAGCUACUAUAUUAUAUCUAGGUGGAGGACUUUUAAGAGUGCAACCGACAUAGAGCACAUGGAAGUGGGUAUAUGGGACAUGAAAUUUCUUCUUAUAAAGAUUGCAUGAUUUUUAUAUUAGAGUUGUUGAGGCGCUAUGUAUUUAGCUUGUUUUGCAGUUAAAUUAAUUGGAUAAGUAGACAUUGGCGUUUCUAAAUCUACUGUGAAGUGCUUCAUGUACGUGUGAAGUAUUAGAAAUUUCUUUCUUGGCAACUUGUUUUUCUUUGCGGUCUACUGAUAGGUUUGACUAAAAUUAUAUUCCCUGUCAUGCUAAUUAAUUUUCACGUGCAUGCUCAAAAGAAAAGUAUGACCUUAGUGCACCAAAAUCACUUUGAUUAAUUUGUGAUAGGUUUUUGUGCAUCAUGACAUUAGCCUUAUUCAUUUAGAUAAUGUUUAGUUUUUAGAAAGUAUUAAGAAAAGGAAAAUAAAUAUUAAGAAAAAUAUUCUUAUAUUUGAUUGUAUUAUGAAAAAUAUCAUAAAAAAAUCAAAUAUAAUUUAAAUUAAUUAAUAAUUUAUACAUUUUCAAAUUAUUUAAUCUUUAUAUUGAAGAUAUAAUAUAAAUGAAAUGAGUUUUAAGUAUUAUAUAAAAGUGAUUUAUUGAUCUUACAUAUAUAUAUUUCUUUUUUUUUUCCUUCUAUUUUUUCUCUUUAUUUUAUUUUCCUUAUGUUUUCCUCAACAUUUUCCGGAACCAAACAUAGCCUUAGGAAAUCCACAAUUACCUUCAACUGAGUAGAUUCUGUUGUUUUAGCAAUGUUAGGCUGCUAACUUGUGUUGGUACGAACCUAUUAAGCCUAAAGAUGUAAUUAGUUAGGAUAUUCUUUUCCCUCUAGUCUUGUAGCUCCACGUGUACAGUUGGUUAGGACCUCAUUGUAUAUAAUGCUUGCCCUGUUAUUGUAGAAGACAACAAAGAUAAAUAAUAUUAACAUUUUUCCUCUCAUCUCUCUCUGUUUCCCUCUGUUUUCAUCUCCUCUCUCAUCUUGGUAUCAGAGCCUCCAUGGCUUCUUUCAAAGAAACCUCCGAAUCACCUUCUGCUAGCAUUGUUAAUGUGCAAAACCCAUUAUCUCAAUCAAACAACCUUCCUUCACCAGUAGCCACACCCUCUUUUUCUUUCUCGUCUAUGAAUCAACCUCUCACAGUGAAGCUGGAUAAUGGGAACUACCUCAUAUGGAAGAAUUAGCUUCUAAAUGUCAUCAUUGCUAACGGACUCGAUGAUUUCAUUGACGGAUCUCGACCCUGCCCUCCUCGAUUUCUCGAUCUGCAACAACAAACCCUCAAUCCAGAGUACUCAGCUUGGCAGAGAUACAAUCGACUUCUGAUGAGUUGGCUGUACGCAUCCUUGUCCAAAGAUAUAAUGGCUCAGAUUGUUGGGUAUUCAACAGCUAUGGAGAUUUGGAAUGCCCUUAAUCAGAUUUACUCUGCCUCUUCUAUGGCGCGGUUUACUGAGCUUCGCACCAAGCUUCAAACGCUCAAGAAAGAUGGACUCUCAGUUGGUGAAUAUAUUCAAAGGCUCAAAUCCAUUUGCAAUAGUCUUGCAGCAAUAGGAGAACCAGUUUCUGAGAAAGACCAUCUUAUCUAUUUGUUCAAUGGAUUAGAUUGUGAGUAUUAUUCUUUUGUUACCUCCAUUCAAAAUCGAUCUGACCAACCAACUAUUGACAAAAUCCAUAGCCUAUUGCUUAGCUAUGACUUCCGGCUUGAACAACAAAACUCUGUUUCUCUCCAUUCUGCCCAAGUCCAUAUGGCUCAUCUGAACAAGAAACCUUAUAAAUCAACUCCUCAACCUACAUUCAAUCAUAUUCACAUUCAACCUAGAUACUCUUCUCCACCUUUUAAGCCAACCACUAGUCAAUAUCAACCCAACAUUUUGGGCAAACCACAACCACAACCAUGACAGCCUCAACCUCAAUGGAAACCACAUUUUUCAAUCUAAAAUCAAAAGCCUCAGCGCCAAAUUUGUGGUAAAUUUGGACACACUGCUCUUAUUUGCUUCCAUCACACAAAUUUGAACUAUUCACCCCAACCUUCUCCUAAAUCUUUCAAUACUGUUCUCACCACAAAUUCCCAGCUCCCUAAUCCUCCAAAAUUUUCUUACCCUACAAUGGCUCAUCCUGCUGCUACGCAUAACACGGUUCCCGAUACAAAUUGGUACAUGGACUCAGGUGCUACACAUCACUUUACUCUGGACAUCAACGUGCUUGACACUGUGACACCAUUUAGUGGUUCAGAACAGGUGACAGUUGGGAAUGGUAAGCAACUCUGUAUCUCACAUCUUGGUACUGCAAAACUACCAUCUUCGUAUUCUCCUCCUGUUCUACAUCAGGUAUAUCACACUCCAAAAAUUUCAAAUAAUCUUAUUAGUGUUAAAAAAUUGUGUUCUGAUAAUAAAGUUUUUGUUGAAUUUUAUGCCACUCAUUUUCUUGUCAAGGAUCAGGUUUCGAAGAGAGUUCUCCUUUAGGGUCAACUUGAUAAUGGCUUAUACAAAGUUCAGUCGUCAUGCUCUCCUUCUGCUGUUUCCUUUCCUCCUCAAGUUUUCAUAGCCAACAUCAAGUAUCCAAAUCUGUGGCACAAGAGACUAGGCCACCCAGCUUUAUCUGUUGUUAAUCAAAUCUUGGAUUCUUGUAACAUUGCUCGAACACAGAAAAUUUGUUUUAAUUUUUUAAAUUCUUGUCAAUUAGCAAAGAGCCACAGGCUUCCUUUUUCUCUGUCUCCAUCCAUUGCAGAAAAACCUUUUGAGUUAAUUCAUACAGACCUAUGGGGUCUUUCGCUCGUUCGCUCUAUUUCUGGUGCUCUUUAUUUUUUACUUUUCAUUGAUGAUCAUACUCGUUUUACUUGGUUUUAUUUGCUCAAAACAAAAGAUGAAGCAUAUCCUACUUUUCUCAAGUUUCAAGCUCUCAUUGAAAAUCAAUUUAAUACCAAGAUUAAGGCUGUCCAAUCUGAUUGGGGAGGUGAGUUUCGAUCUCUCUCCAUACCGUUUUCAAAUAUGGGCAUUGUCUAUUGUUUAUCGUGUCCAUACACCUCACAACAGAAUGGGCGAGUUGAGCGAAAAAAUCGCCAUGCGAUUGUCCUUUCUUGCUUGCUCUAUGCCCUUAUCUUAUUGGCCUUAUGCCUUUCAAACUGCCACUUACCUUAUUAAUCGUCUCUCUACCCCUGUGCUGCAUCAUCAAUCCUCUUACUUCGCACUCUAUCACAAACUCCCAACUUAUACUCAUCUUAAGGUCUUUGGUUCCUCUUGUUUUCCGUAUUUGCACCCUUAUAAUACCCAUAAACUCCAAUACAGGUCACUAGAGUGUGCUUUUCUUGGUUACAGUUCACACCACAAAGGUUAUCUAUGUCUUGACAUUCAUUCUAGCAGGGUGUAUAUUUCUCGCCAUGUGAUUUUUAAUGAAGAUUCUUUUCCAUUCAAGAAUUUGAAAUCUUCUCUCUCUCAGUCUAUUUCUUCUUCCUCUUCUUUAUAAGUUCCUCUGUUCAUUCUCUUGCCUCCCCUUUCCCCAUCUCCUCUUAUUUCUUCAUCUAUACCUCAUUCUUUUCCCUCUUCUUCUUCUACCUCUAGUACUUGUUCCCCUCUCGUUGCUCCUACCUCUCUUCCUUCCUCUUCACACUCUGUGUCUCCAUCUAUUCCACCUCCUUCUCCACCUUCUCCGAGUGUGGACCUGCUUGCACCUUGUGUGAAUACAAAUUUACAUACUUCUUCUCGCACUCACAAUAUUCAUCCUAUGGUGACUAGAUCUAAGGUUUGUAUCUAUAAACCUAAGUUGUUGUUGAGUGUCUCCAUAGGUUCUCUCACUAAGCCUACUUCCUUUCUUCAAGCUAUUAAAGAUCCUUCAUGGAAGCAAUCCAUGGAAUUCGAGUUUGCUACCCUUCAACACAACAAGACCUGGCAUUUGGUUCCUUCACCUUCCUCAGGCGAAGUAAUCGGUUGUAAAUGGGUCUAUAAGCUAAAGCUUCAGCCUGAUGGCUAAAUUGAGAGAUACAGCCUGCUUAGUAGCUAAGGGUAUCAUCAAAUUGAAGUAUGGACUACUUCGAAACAUUCAGCCUGAUNNNNNNNNNNNNNNNNNNNNNNNNNNNNNNNNNNNNNNNNNNNNNNNNNNNNNNNNNNNNNNNNNNNNNNNNNNNNNNNNNNNNNNNNNNNNNNNNNNNNAGCUUCAGCCUGAUGGCUAAAUUGAGAGAUACAAGGCCUGCUUAGUAGCUAAGGGUUAUCAUCAAAUUGAAGGUAUUGACUACUUCGAAACAUUCAGCCUGAUUGUCAAGCUUUCUACUAUCUGUAUUGUGCUCAGUCUUACUUUUUCCCAGAAUUGGUGUAUUAGACAGCUGGAUGUUCAUAAUGCCUUCUUACAUGGUGACUUAGCUAAAGACGUUUUCAUGGAACAACUGCCUGGAUUUGUUGAUCCUCUCUAUCCUACUCAUGUCUGCAAGUUGGAUAAGUCUCUCUACUGUCUUAAAUAGUCACCUCGGGCUUGGUAUACUAAGCUGAGUACUUCUCGCUACACUUGGGAUUUGUUACUUCUAAGAAUGACUCUUCCUUAUUUAUUUGUCAUUCGUCUCAUGGGUUACUUCUUGUUCUUGUCUAUGUGGAUGAUAUAAUCGUCAUUGGGAGCCACUCUCCUCAGGUUACUCACCUUAUCCAACAGUUGCAUCAUUAGCUUUCUUUAAAGGAUCUUGGUCCUUUACAUUAUUUUCUGGGCUUGGAGGUUCAUCACACCCCUACUGGUAUUCACCUCAGCCAAGCAAAGUAUAUCACUGAUCUCCUUACCCGGGCGGCUAUGUUGGAUGCCAAGCCAUGUCCCACUCCUAUGUCCUCCAACACAUAUCUCUCUUUUCAUGAUGGAGUGGCUCUUGAAAAUGGUUCAGAUUAUCGAAGUUUUGUUGGUGCCCUUUAGUAUUGUACCAUGACACGCCCAGAUAUAGCUUUUGCAAUAAAUAAAGUGUGUCAAUUCAUGCACCAUCCCUCUAAUGUUCACUGGCAGGCUAUAAAACGUAUUCUCCGGUACUUAAAGGGCACAUCUCAUUUUGGUCUCUUCCUACAGCCUUCCUAUGACUUCAACAUCACUUGCUAUACAAAUGCCGACUGGGCUUCCUGUCCUGAUGACAAGUGUAGCACCAGUGGCUACUGCCUCUUUCUUGCCUCUAAUCUGGUUUCUUGGUCAUCUUCCAAACAAAAAGUGGUCUCCCGCUCCAGCGCCGAAUCAGAGUACCGAGGGGUAGCAAAUGGGGCUGCUGAAAUUGCUUGGACUGAAUCUCUUCUUUGUGAACUUUCCAUUACUCCCCCUCCCCUCAUUCUCUGUGACAAUAUCAGUGCCACGUACUUAGCUGCCAAUCCUAUUUUGCAUGCCCGCACCAAACAUGUGGAAAUCGACUAUCACUUUGUCACGGAACGUGUUCUUCAAUGCUCUCUUUUUGUCCAGUUUACACCUUCUGAUGAUCAACUUGCUGAUUGCAUGACCAAGCCUCUCUCCACCCAACGUUUCAUCACUCUACGCUCCAAGCUCACUGUUCUCACUAGACCAAUGAGCUUGAGGGGGGAUGUUAAGCCUAAAGAUGUAAUUAGUUAGGAUAUUCUUUUCCCUCUAGUCUUGUAGCUCCACGUGUACAGUUGGUUAGGACCUCAUUGUAUAUAAUGCCUGCCCUGUUAUUGUAGAAGACAACAGAGAUAAAUAAUAUUAACAUUUUUCCUCUCAUCUCUCUCUCUGUUUCCCUCUGUUUUCAUCUCCUCUCUCAUCUGAACCAAAUGAUCCAUGUUAACCUUGGCUUGGUUUGAUUUGGCUCUAUCUUAGAGAGCUCAAGGAUCACGUCAACUCUGGUUUCUACUAUUCAGGUCCAUUCCCAUAUGAACUGGUUCAAAUUUGAGAAAAUGGUAACAGACCUUUAGUGAUGUUGGUUUGGAGCCAGUUGCCAAACCCGCCCUGAGCUUUACCACUAAUGUCAAGGGAGAAAGCCAUUUGAACAAAAACAAUAGCUUCAAGGGACUGAAUCGUGGAUGAAAUCUGAUCCACAUUUCUUCUCAUUUUGGAAACAAAUGAGAACUUAACUAAGAAGAUUCUACGGCCUCAUAGUGCUUUUCCUGAUCUAAGGUUGGUUCGUUUCCCAAACUGUGAGAUGCACGUGCCAGACUUCAGAACUCUCACGCUCAGGAGUGUAUCCACGUGGUGGACAUAAGAUGGUGGCUUAAGAUCUGGUGUCGGUGGCUUUACUUUACUAGGAGAGUAGUGUGUCUUCAUCUCAUUCACUGCCGGAGGGUGGCGUAAGCAGUGACGCUAAGGUGGGGCACAGUCAAUAUCAUUUGCAUUUGACCAUUAUAGUUUUCUCCCGGCUUUAAAGUAACCUUAUCGUGAUAAAGGAUUACUAGCACUAGUUCAGAUGAUAGUCAUGUUAAAUUCGGACCAUGUUUGUGUCACAUUAUCAGCAACCAUGUGUUUAUGGUUCAUGCUUUCUGCAACUAAAAUUGAUAUAUAACCAGGUGAACUUCAAUCUAAAUUCUGAAAGUACUCAUGUGAUAGAUGGUGCCCGUCUGCAGAGUCCAUCAAUUGAAAAAUGGAGUGAGUGUAUCUAUAAGAGGGAAGGCUUGGAAAAUGUUCAGUUUUCUGGGAAUUCAACAAGGAUCUAAAAUAGAUUGUUUUCUUUGCUGAUUUCAAUGGUUGAAAUUUGAGAAGAUUGUGUCCACAUAACACAACUAUUACUGGUCCUUCUGUUGCAAUUUAUCCUCUAAAGCUCUAGCAUGUCUUCCAAUUCCCACUUCCCUGUUACUCCAGGAAAGCUAUUUCUGUCAUUGUGAAGAAGAAAAGAGAAUGUACAUAUCGAUGCUUUUAAGUGACUGGAGCAUUUAUAUCAGGUGGUCUGCAGCCAUAUAUGCCACUUUGUGAAGAUUGGAACAGUCAAUCACUAGGCUAUAUAUUAGUGUGGCCCAGCCACUUUAAUCAAGGACAAGUCUUCAUACUUAAAGUCAAAUUCUGCCUUUAGUCUCAUUAUAAAUUUCUGUUUAAAUAUUAAGCAAACAUUUGUUUAAUGCGAUUAAGACAGUACUAACUCAAUACCUGUUCUAUUUUUGGAUGCAAAUGCUUGAUGGUUUCAUCAUUGGAUGGGAUAAAGGUGCAUUCAUGAUUAGGAAUACUAGUAGUUAUAUUUUAAUUCUCUUUUUUCUCAAUGAGACUUGUUGGCACAAUUUUGCUGUUGAGAAACCUACCUCUCCAUGGAAAAUAAGUUGUGAUUGAUAGUACUGGAUAUAUUCAAGAAAUCUAAAUAUAGAUAGCACAAAAUAUUAUCGACAUAAAUAGCAUUAACAGCGUACGUAUGUCUCAGUGCUCAUCAGCUAUAAGCAUGGGGCAAACACUUACUAUGAGCAACUUACGUCAAAAUUCCAGAAUAGGACAUAGAAGUGACAGAUAUAGAACAUUGCAUAUGAGUCACAAGAAAGGAAAUUACGGGUGCAUAGCAGCUCUUAUUUUACAUACUACUACUCAUACUGAUCAAAGUCACUCAGUUGGGAUGGGUGGGAGUAGGAGGUUUGUGGGGUGGCUUGUGCGGAGGAGUUGGCAGCUUCUUUCCAGGACCUGGUUGCUUCUCUGCUGGAGUUGAAGGAGGCUUAAUCUUCCGAGGUGGCUUGUAUGAGUCUUCAGCAUUCUCAGCUGGAGGGUGACCAGGGUUGUGACCAUAAUGUGGUGGCUUCUCUCCCUUAGGUGGUUUGCCAACUGGGGUUGGUGGCUUGUAUGAGUCUUCAGCAUUCUCAGCAGGAGGGUGACCAGGGUUGUGACCAUAAUGUGGUGGCUUCUCUCCCUUAGGUGGUUUGCCAACUGGGGUUGGUGGCUUGUGUUCUGGGAGUGGCUUCUCCCCCUUGGGAGGUUUUUCCAAUGGGGUUGGUUUGUGUUCAGGAGGUGGCUUCUCCACUGGAGGCUUGUGUUCAGGAGGUGGCUUCUCCACCGGAGGCUUGUGUUCAGGUGGUGGCUUCUCCACCGGAGGCUUAUGCUCUGGUGGUGGCUUCUCGAAUGGGGGAUGCUUAGGAUAAUCAGCAAGUGAGGGGGCGGUGAGAACCACCAGGCCAAGCAACACCACUAGCAAAUAUGUAGGAGACAUCUUUGGGUUUGGGCUCAGAUGGUGCAAAACUAGGAGAAUUGGCUAGCCUUUUAUAGCGGAUCGUACCCAAUAAUGAAAUGACACGUGUCAUUAUGACCCAUGUGUAAUGGGGUCGAUUUGGGUCCUACAGUGUUGAAAACUUCGACAUCCACUUUUGGCCUUUUGCUUUCUCUACAGCCGCCUUGCUUUUUCCCUCUUUCCUUUUGUUUUCCUCCUGCCCCAUUCUAUCAACUAAACACAAUUAUGUAGUUGUUUAAUUCUUAAAUGAGAUAUUAUCCGUCAAUCGUAUUAUAUUUUAUCAAGAGAGAACGGAGUGCAAUGUGGCUGUAAUUUUAUCGUUUAGUUUUAUCUCUUGGACCACUGCAUUUUUGUUAAGAGGUGCAAUAAUACACGUCUUUAUCUGCCAUUCAAUAUUUACAGUAAAGAGAGGGCACAAAACUCUUCACUUCGCACCAUAAUUAUUUUGUUUUCUGGACACCCCGGGGCCCUUUGGUUGGUUUGGGGGUCAGAAAGUGAACAUCAUAGGGGGUUUUUCCCUUAUGUGCAUUUGUAUCUGAUGGCUUUAACUCGCCUUGUUACUACAAAGAAACUGUCACAGAUAGGAACUUAUUCCAGGCUGAGUAUCUCCUCAUAGACCCUAUAAAAGAAGACAAGUCAUAAUGAACAUCUAACCUUUGUUCAAUUUGAUUCAAUGCCCCCAUUGUGUCCAUCUCACAAAUCUGAAUUAUUAUAUCCAUUGAAUACAUAAAUUAAUGAAGAAAAUAUGAAACCCAAGAUACAUCUCUGCACAACCUCAACCCUGGUUGCUAUGUUUCCCUUCUAUUCACAUGAUUUGAUGCUAAUUGCCAAACUUGCAACAAGCCCUGAGUUUGACACCUAGUAUCGAUGGGCGAAUUUAAAGUCUCCUCCAAACAUAUAUUCCACAGCUUGAAGCUCACAGAAGAUGUUACAGGCAGGGAAAAACCUUCAGAGUUCGCUACCAAAGAUAAUUAUUAAGGAGAUAUCACAAAGAGAAUUCCAAGGGGUCUGAAUCAAAGACAAAUUGGUCGUUCGUGGGGGUUCUUACUUUCUUUUGGGUAUAACUCACUGAGGGCACUGUCUUUGUUAUUUGCAUUUCACAUUUAGAGUUCUGUUCUGGAAACAUAUAAAAGGAGCAUCAUUUUGUUCUUGGGUAACCCAUAGUCGUGAGUGGGUCCAUUUGCAUGCUACUUAGUUGAAAAGUUGGACCAUUUGCUCCGACGCCUACCUCCCGGAUUCCAUGCUCGGAUAAAACAAGAAUAAAAAAAAUAUUUAUAAUUUACAAAUGGGGGAAAGAAAAAAAUGUCAACAACAAACCAGGAAAAAAGAGUAGUAAAAUUCAUGUCACAUGCUAGUGAGAGAAGGGGUUGUUACACUCACUCGAAGUUCUUUCCAAAAUAUCGCAUGGUAUUUUAUUUUAUGUGUCAGCGCAGUUGUGAAUGGAACGUGCAAAAGUCCAAAUUGGCGUUUUUCCUUUUCCCGUGUAGGAUGGCGACCUUUAAUAAAUAUUUAAAACAAAAAACGAAAAAAAGGAGGGAAAAGGGAUCAGAAAAGAUAAAACAAUGUGUACAAGAGCUCAAUUAGUUUGCAAAUUACUGUUUGGAUUUUGAUAGUAUUUUAUUUGUCCAUCUAUAUUUGAUGGAAAAGAGAAUUUAAGAUAUUUCUGAAACAAAAGCAUUAGUGUAAAACUAAAUUAAGGUAUAAUUAAGUUAGUUCAAUGCAUUAAUUUAAGAAACUUGAUCUAUCCAAAGUACAAAAUUAGAUGAAAUCCAUUUCAAUGGUUAAAAUGAUCAAAAUCAAACUUUUUCUAAGUAUUUUUUAAAAGCAUCAAUAUUAAAAGACAAUUUUAUAUUUAGUCGGAGUUUGGACAAAACCAAAAAGCACACAAAAUCCAAGCGACCAUCUCUAGCUUGGAUAGUCACUUGAUCCCACCUAGAGAUGUGCAUGAGUAAAAGGAUUUGAAAAUGGAAAUUGACUAAAUAUUUAGUUGAUCAAUUAAAUUUGCAAUGUCAUAUGCAAUCCUAAUAGCUAGUCAUCUAAUCAAUUAGGUAGUCAAUCAAGUGUUUGUAAUGACUAUUUUGUACAAAAAACCACAUGUAUAGUUAAAUAUAAUGCAUUUCAUUUAUAAAUCUUCUAAUUCUUGAAUAACGAUCCUAUCAUCCUUUGAAAAUUUUUAUUACACCUUUUUUACUUUUGUUCUAAAACUUACAUAUCACCCUUAAUUGUACCAUGAGAACCUAGCUAUUUUUUUUUUUUUUGUAAUUCAUCAAAGUUAGCUUUUGUAUUCAUUGUUGUAUUAUUUUUAGUAUAACUUAGAAAGCUAGUGUUUUCAAGUGAGUAAAAUUAACUUGUAAAUAUUGUAAAGAUUCAUUGAUAUGUAUCUUAAACUAAGUGUACAAAUUAAAACAUUUGCUAGUAGAUUUUCUCAAAAUUUAGAAUAGAGCUUGAGGCUAUUGAAAUAGGUGGGGUUACACCAAACCACAUCACAUCGUUGUUUGCACCUUUUUUCACUCUCUUUUACUUAGUUUCUCUAUAUUUGUUGUCUAGUAAUAUCCUAUAGGCUUGAUGGGUUAGGGAGCAUCCCUUUGUGAAAAAAUUUCAUUCAAUUCUUAGUUGUAUUACGCAUAUAUAAAAUGCCUCAUUGUUUUAAUGGUAUUCAGUCGUGGCAUCACAGAUAUGGGCAUCUAAAUUUUAAAAGUUUGAAACUUUUGUAAAGCAUGUUGAUAAAAUCCAUGAGAGUUGUGUACUUGGGAAGCAACAUCGAGGUGACUUUAUUUUUUUUUCCUUUUAUAAUGCCACACCUAAGUCCGGUUUCUAAAUGCUAAAGUGAAAGGGUAGGUAUGGACCAUUGAAAUGUGAUCACAACUUUUGGCCUUUUCCUUUCUCUGCAGCCAUGUUGUCUCUUUUUUCUUUUGCAUGAUUUUCUUACCAAAACAGAAUCAUAGACUUGUUUAGUCUCUAAGCUACUAUAUUAUAUCUCGGUGGACUUUUAAGAGUGCAACCGACAUAGAGCACAUGCAAGUGGGCAUAUGGGACAUGAAAUUUCUUCUUACAAAGAUUGCAUGAUUUUUAUAUUAGAGUUGUUCACGUGCAAUGUAUUUAGCUUGUUUUGCAGUUAAAUUAAUUGGAUAAGUAAACAUUGGCAUUUCUAAAUCGACUGUGAAGUGCUUCAUGUACGUGUAAAGUAUUAGAAAUUUCUUUCUUGGCAACUUGUUUUUUCCUUGCCAUCUACUGGUAGGUUUGACUAAAAUUAUAUUCCCUGUCAUGCUAAUUAAUUUUCAUGUGCAUGCUCAAAAGAAGAGUAUGACCUUAGUGCACCAAAAUCACUUUGAUUAAUUUGUGAUAGGUUUUUUUGCAUCAUUUAGAUAAUGUUUAGUUCUAAGAAAAAUUUAUAUAAAAAUGGUUUAUUUAUCUUACAUAUAUAUAUAUAUAUAUAUAUUUUUUUUUUUUUCAUUUUUUUUUCUUCUAUUUUAUUUAUUUAUUUUAUUUUCCUUAUGUUUUCCUCACAUUUUCCGGAACUAAACAUAGUCUUACGAAAUCAACAAUUGCCUUCAACUGAGUAGAUUCUGUUGUUUUAGCAAUGUUAGGCUGCUAACUUGUGGUGGUACGAACCAAAUGACCCAUGUUAAUCUUGGCUUGGUUUGAUUUGGCUCUAUCUCAGAGAGCUAAAGGAUCACGUCAACUCUGGUUUCUACUAUUCAGGUCCAUUCCCAGAUGAACUGGUUCAAAUUUGAGAAAAUGGUAACAGACCUUUAGUGAUGUUGGUUUGGAGCCAGUUGCCAAACCCGCCCUGAGCUUUACCACUAAUGUCAAGGGAGAAAGCCAUUUGAACAAAAACAAUAGCUUCAAGAGACUGAAUCGUGGAUGAAAUCUGAUCCACAUUUCUUCUCAUUUUGGGAAAAAAUGAGAACUUAACUACAAAGAUUCUACUGCCUCAUUCAUAGUGCUUUUCCUGAUCCAAGGUUGGUUCGUUUCCCAAAUUGUGAGGUGCACGUGCCACUCUCACGCUCAGGAGUGUAUCCACGUGGUGGACAUCAGAUGGUGGCUUAAUAUCUGGUGUCGGUGGCUUUACUUUACUAGGAGAGUAGUGUGUCUUCAUCUCAUUCACUGCCGGAGGGUGGCGUAAGCAGUGACGCUAAGGUGGGGCACAGUCAAUAUCAUUUGCAUUUGACCAUUAUAGUUUUCUCCCGGCUUGAAAGUAACCUUAUCGUGAUAAAGGAUUACUAGCACUAGUUCAGAUGACCGUCAUGUUAAUUCGGACCAUGUUUGUGUCACAUUAUCAGCAACCAUGUGUUUAUGGUUCAUGCUAUCUGCAACUAAACUUGAUAUAUAACCAGGUGAACUUCAAUCAAAAUUCUGGAAGUACUCUUGUGAUAGAUGGUGCCUGUCUGCAGAGUCCAUCAAUUGAAAAAUGGAGUGAGUGUAUCUAUAAGAGGGAAGGCUUGGCAAAUGUUCAGUUUUCUGGGAAUUCAACAAGGAUCUAAAAUAGAUUGUUUUCUUUGCCGACUUCAAUGGUUGAAAUUUGAGAAGAUUGUGUCCACAUAUCACAACUAUUACUGGUCCUUCUGUUGCAAUUUAUCCUGUAAGGCUCUAACAUGUCUUCCAAUUCCCACUUCCCUGUUACUCCAGGAAAGCUAUUUCUGUCAUUGUGAAGAAGAAAAGAGAAUGUACAUAUCGAUGCUUUUAAGUGACUGGAGCAUUCAUAUCAGGUGGUCUGCAGCCAUAUAUGCCACUUUGUGAAGGUUGGAACAGUCAAUCACUAGGCUAUAUAUUGGUGUGGCCCAGCCACUUCAAUCAAGGACAAGUCUUCAUACUUAAAGUCAAAUUCUGCCUUUAGUCUCAUUAUAAAUUGCUGUUUAAAUAUUAAGCAAACUUUUGUUUAAUGCGAUUAAGACAGUACUAACUCAAUACUUGUUCUAUUUUUGGAUGCAAAUGCUUGAUGGUUUCAUCAUUGGAUGGGAUAAAGGUGCAUUCAUGAUUAUGAAUACUUGUAGUUAUAUUUUCAUUCUCUUUUUUCUCAAUGAGACUUGUUGGCACAAUGUUGCUGUUCAGAAACCUACCUCUCCAUGGAAAAUAAGUUGCGAUUGAUAGUACUGGAUAUGUUCAAGAAAGCUAAAUAUAGAUAGCACAAAAUAUUAUCGAUAUAAAUAGCAUUAACAGCGUACGUAUGUCUCAAUGCUCAUCAGCUAUAAGCAUGGGACAAACACUUACUAUGAGCAACUUACGUCAAAAUUCCAGAAUAGGACAUAGAAGUGACAGAUCUAUAUAUAUAGAACACUGCAUAUGAGUCACAAGAAAGGAAAUUACGGGUGCAUAGCAGCUCUUAUUUUACAUACUACUACUCAUACUGAUCAAAGUCACUCAGUUGGGAUGGGUGGGAGUAGGAGGUUUGUGGGGUGGCUUGUGCGGAGGAGUUGGCAGCUUCUUUCCAGGACCUGGUUGCUUCUCUGCUGGAGUUGAAGGAGGCUUAAUCUUCCGAGGUGGCUUGUAUGAGUCUUCAGCAUUCUCAGCUGGAGGGUGACCAGGGUUGUGACCAUAAUGUGGUGGCUUCUCUCCCUUAGGUGGUUUGCCAACUGGGGUUGGUGGCUUGUAUGAGUCUUCAGCAUUCUCAGCAGGAGGGUGACCAGGGUUGUGACCAUAAUGUGGUGGCUUCUCUCCCUUAGGUGGUUUGCCAACUGGGGUUGGUGGCUUGUGUUCUGGGAGUGGCUUCUCCCCCUUGGGAGGUUUUUCCAAUGGGGUUGGUUUGUGUUCAGGAGGUGGCUUCUCCACUGGAGGCUUGUGUUCAGGAGGUGGCUUCUCCACCGGUGGCUUGUGUUCAGGAGGUGGCUUCUCCACCGGAGGCUUAUGCUCUGGUGGUGGCUUCUCCACCGGAGGCUUAUGCUCUGGUGGUGGCUUCUUGAAUGGGGGAUGCUGAGGGUAAUCAGCAAGUGAGGGGGCGGUGAGAACCACCAGGCCAAGCAACACCACUAGCAAAUAUGUAGGAGACAUCUUUGGGUUUGGGCUCAGAUGGUGCAAAACUAGGAGAAUUGGCUAGCCUUUUAUAGCGGAUCGUACUCAAUAAUGAAAUGACACGUGUCAUUAUGACCCAUGUGUAAUGGGGUCGAUUUGGGUCCUACAGUGUUGAAAACUUCGACAUCCAGUUUUGGCCUUUUGCUUUCUCUACAGCCGCCUUGCUUUUUCCCUCUUUCCUUUUGUUUUCCUCCUGCCCCAUUCUAUCAACUAAACACAAUUAUGUAGUUGUUUAAUUCUUAAAUGAGAUAUUAUCGGUCAAUCGUAUUAUAUUUUAUCAAGAGAGAACGGAGUGCAAUGCAGCUGUAAUUUUAUCGUUUACUUUUAUCUCUUGGACCACUGCAUUUUUGUUAAGAGGUGCAAUAAUACACGUCUUUAUCUGCCAUUCAAUGUUUACAGUAAAGAGAGGGCACAAAACUCUUCACUGCUCUGCAUGUGUCCCAAAAAUGCGAUUGGACAAAUUAUGAUUUGCAUGCUAAAAAGAGGCAAAUGAGGUUAAUUCGCACCAUAAUUAUUUGGUUUUCUGGACACCAUAAAAAGAUGUUAUACAGGCAGGGAAAAACCUUCAGAGUUAGCUACCAAAGAUAAUUAUCAAGCAGAUAUCACCAAGAGAAUUCCAUAGAGUCUGAAUCAAAGACAGAUUGCUCGCUCGUGGGGGUUCUUACUUUCUUUUGGGUAUAACUCACUGAGGUCACUGUCUUUUUUAUUUGCAUUUCACAGUUAGAGUUCUGCUCUGGAAGGUUUGUUCUGGAAACAUAUAAAAGGAGCAUCAUUUUGUUCUUGGGUAACCCAUAGUCGUGAGUGGGUCCAUUUGCAUGCUACUUAGUUGAAAAGUUGGACAAUUUGCUCCGACGCCUACCUCCUGGAUUCCAUGCUCGGUAAAACAAGAAUAAAAAAAAAUAUAUAAUUUACAAAUGGGGGAAAGAAAAAAUGUCGGAAAAAAUAGUAAAAUUCAUGUCACAUGCUAGUGAGAGAAGGGGUUGUUACACUCACUCGAAGUUCUUUUCAAAAUAUCGAAUGGUAUUUUACUUUAUGUGUCAGCGCAGUUGUGAAUGGAACGUGCAAAAGUCCAAAUUGGCGUUUUUAUUUUUCCCAUGUAGGAUGGUGACCUUUAAUAAAUAUUUAAAACAAAAGACGAAAAAAAAAAGGAGGGAAAAGGGAUCACAAAAGAUAAAAUAAUGUUUACAAAAGCUCAAUUAGUUUGCAAAUUACUGUUUGGAUUUUGAUAGUAUUUUAUUUGUCGUUCUAUAUUUGAUGUAAAAGAGAAUUUAAGAUAUUUCCGAAGCAAAAGCAUUAGUUUGCUCUGUGAUGUCCCACAUCGAAUAGGGGAGAAAGUUUCUGGCGCUAUAUAUGUAGAGGCUCCUCUUAACCAAGUAGAUGCGUUUUAAAACCAUGAGGGCCCCCUUAGGUCCAAAGCGGACAAUAUCUACAUGAUUGGGUGUAAGUCAUUACAAAUGGUAUCAGAGCCGAUCCCCGACCCCGGUGUGGGGGUUUGUUUGGCCCUGUAAGGGGUGUUUGUCUGUUUGACCCCACAAUCCCAUGGGACACAACGAGGACGUUGUGUCUGCAUGGGGGGGCGUUUGUGAUGUCCCACAUCGGAUAGGGGAGAAAGUUCCUAGUGCUAUAUAUGUAGAUGUUUCUCUUAACCAAGUAGAUGCAUUUUAAAAUUGUGAGGGCCUCUUUGGGCCCAAAGCGGACAAUAUCUACAUGGUUGAGUGUAAGUCAUUACAUGCUCCAUGUCAAUUUCAGCAUUUCUCAUAUGUUUCACACAUACACAGAAGAGCAUCGUUUUUUAAAGCAUGCAUUUAUGUUGGAUUAAUUUGGAUUUUGUGGGAACUGGGGCAAGGAUCACAUGGAAGAGAGGUUGACUUUUUUCAGUACUUCAAUGGUUGAAAUAUGUGAAGGCUUGAUUGAUACUAAAGCUUGAAAUUGCGACUCUGUCAUUUGUAAAAAAAUAUGACAGCUUCCAUGCUCUCGUUUGGUUGCAUUGUCCGGUCGAGAGGUGCAAAAAGCAUUCUCUCUCUUCUAAUAGUCUUUUCGUUUAAAUCAAGGGAUUUGCCUUCCCGGUCGAGGUCCAAUAGAGGGUAACGGUCACCUACUAAACAUUAAAUGCUCCAACAACUAGUGAACUGAUCGACCCCAGCUCGACUAGUUGAGGUUACUUUUUGGUUUUCUUGUCUCCCGAGGUUAGAAACCUAUAAAUAGAGAGCUUCACUUCAUUUAUGAGUAAGAGAACACCUAAAUUUAUUUGUUUACCUACUUGUUUUUGCCAUAAAAGCUCUCAUUUCUUUUCUUGGUGUAUUAAAUCUCCAUUUGCAUAUCCUUUAGUGCACCUUUGUGAUUCAUUCUAGCCUUGAGUUGUAUUUAAGCCUUUGUUGAGCUAGGUUGAGAGUUUCAUACUUGUUUAUUGAGUGUUAAAGCCUUCAAGUGAGUUAAAACUUGAAGAGAUUGUGUAAGAGCCCAUUGGAGUCGGAAUCCAAGUGUAAAGGUGAUUAAAAGCUUGGUUGAAGCUUCAAGUUAGUGGAACUCUCACUCGGUUAUGAGCUUGAGAAGAGUGGACAUAGACAAGGCAGUGUCGAACCACUAUAAAAUCUGAGUUUGAUUUCUCUAACCUUAUCUCUUUAUAUUUGCUUCUCUUGUGCUUAAAUUUUUUGUGUUUAAAAAGAAUUUUUAAAAACUCAAUUCACCCCCUUCUUGGGAGUUUUUCUCUUUUAAGAUCAGCUUUUAUUUUCUCAAUUGGUAUCAGAACUAUGCCUCUUGUUUAAGACUUAAUCGUCUAAGAGGAAAUGGCUAAUCCAUCAAGUUCAUCUCACAUUGAAAGUUUUGCAACCAAUAGACUUCUUUUUUUUUUUUUGCGGGAACUGAUUAUCCCUAUUGGAAAACUAAAAUGACUUGGUUUUUACAAUCAAUUGAUUUAGAUGUAUGAGAUGCCAUUGAAGAUGACCUAACUUUUCCUUCAAAACUAGUUGAUGGAGUCAUGGUUCCAAAACCUAAGCAAGAAUGGGAUGAGCGUGAUUGAAGAAAUUUUCAAUUAAAUGCUAAAGUCGUUUAUACUUUGCAAUGCUCUAUGGACAGAAAUGAAUAUAAUAGAAUAUGUCAAUGCAAAUCGGUUAAAGAAAUUUGGAGAUUGCUUGAAAUAACUCAUAAAGGAACAAAUCAAGUUAAAGAGUCAAAAAUCAAUUUACUUGUUCAUAGAUAUGAAUUGUUUUUUAUGAAAGAUAAUGAAACUAUUGUUAAGAUGAUCACUAGGUUCACCAACAUUGUUAAUGGUCUUAAAGCCUUGGGAAAGACCUACAAGGAAUCCGAAAACGUGAUGAAGAUCUUGAGGUCACUUCCAUCAAAGUGGCAUACCAAGGUCACCGCAAUUUAAGAAGCAAAAGACUUGAUCAAGCUACCUUUGGAGGAGUUCAUAGGGUCAUUGAUGACAUAUGAAAUCAAUUUGGCAAAGAAGUAACAAAAAGGUGAAGACAAAAAGAAGAAGAACAUAACUCUCAAAGCUACAACUAAGGAAGAAGAAGUUGAAGAAGAAAAACAAAUUGAAGAAGAUGAAGAUUUAGCCCUCAUCACAAGAAAGUUCAACAAAUUCAUGAGGGGUGAAAGGUUUAGAAGAAGAAGGUUCACUUCUAGAAGAGACUUUUCUAAAAAGGAAUCUUCAUCUAAUGGUGACAAAAAGAGAUGGGAAGAGAAAAGAGACUUGGUGUGUUUCAAGUGCAAGAAACCGGGACACAUUAAAUAUGAUUGUCCUCUCUACAAAAGUGAAGUCAAGAGGAAAAAGAAUAAGGCAAUGAUGGCCACUUAGAGUGAAAGUGAAGAUGAAUCAUCCGAAGAAGAAAAUGAGAAAGAAGUGGCAAACAUGUGUUUCAUGGCAAUAGAUGAACUUGAUGAGGUAAAAUCUAACCUUAGUGAUUAAGAUAUACAUGAUGCAUUUGAAGAAUUGUAUGAGGAUUUUUAAAAACUUAGUUUGAAAAAUAUUUCUCUUAAAAAGAAAGUUCAACAACUUGACAAAGAACUUAGAGAAGUAAAAGAAAAAUUUUCAAAUGUUAAAGUUUCUAAAACUCAUCUUGAAAAAGAAAAUGAGAUUCUAAGAAAGAAAAAUGAAUAGUUGAACUCCUCUCUUUCAAUCUUUUCUUCUAGACAAAAAUCUUUUGAAAUGAUUCUAACUAGCUAAAAAUGUGUUUUUGACAAACAAGGGUUAAGAUUUAAAUCUUCAAAAAAUCAAAAGUAUUUUAAAAACUAUUUUGUAAAGGAAUCCACAAGUGCAAGUCCUUCCACUACUUGCAACUUUUGUGGAAGAGAAUGGCACAUUAGUAGUACGCCCUUUAAGAAAUGGUUCUCAAAAGAAUUUAAAUGCAAAAACUAAAAAAGAUUUGGAUUGAGAAAUCCAAGGUCACUAACCCUCAAGGACCCAAAAAGAUAUAGGUACCUAAAUCAACUUGAGUUUUAUGUUGUAAGGUUCAAAGAAUGAUAAGUGGUUCUUAGAUAAUGGUUGCUCAAGACACAUGACCGGAGAUGAAUCCAAGUUUGCUUUUCUUAAAAAGAAAAAUGGAGGAUAUGUUACCUUUGGAGACAAUGCAAAAGAAAGGAUGAUUGGUCAAGGCAACAUUGGUAAUGGCACAUCCUCUCUCAUUGAAAGUGUUUUAUUAGUAGAUGGUUUCAAACAUAACCUUUUAAGCAUUAGUCAAUUUUGCGACAAAGGUUUUUAAGUGAUUUUUUAAGCAUCUCAUUGCAUCAUCAAGGAUAUUCAAAAUGAUAAAACCAUUUUCAUGGGCCAUAGAUGUGAUAAUGUUUAUGCUAUAAAUAUUUCAAAAUAUGAUGGCCAUGAUAGAUGUUUUUCAAGCAUGCAUGAUCAAAGUUGGUUGUGCCAUAGGAGAUUGAGACAUGCUAACAUAGACCUCAUUUCCCAACUCAACAAAGAUGAACUUGUUAGAGGCCUUCCCAAAAUAAUUUUUUAAAAAGAUAAAGUUUGUGAAGCUUGUCAAGUGGGAAAGUAAAUCAAAAACUCUUUUAAAAACAAAAACUUCAUUUCCACAUCUAGGCCACUUGAGUUGUUGCAUAUGGAUUUAUUUGGUCCCUCUAGGACACCAAGUCUUAGAGGAAAUUCUUAUGCAUAUGCUAUUGUGGACGACUUCUCUAGAUACACAUGAGUCUUGUUUUUUAGUCAAAAGAAUAAAGUUUUUUAUGAGUUUUCAAAGUUUUGCAAUAAGAUUCAAAAUGAAAAAGGUUUUUCAAUUACUUAUAUAAGAAGUGAUCAUGGGAGAGAAUUCGAAAAUAUUGAUUUUGAAGAGUAUUGCAAUGAGCAUGGAAUUGACCACAAUUUUUUGGCUCUUAGAACUCCUCAACAAAAUGGGGUAGUUGAAAGGAAAAAUAGAACUCUUCAAAAAAUGACAAGAACCAUACUAAAUGAAAACAACUUACCAAAAUAUUUUUAGGCCAAAACGGUUAACACUUCUUGUUAUGUUUUAAAUAGAGUAUUAUUGAGGCUCAUACUUAAGAAAACUCCCUAUGAGCUUUGGAAAAACAAAAAACCCAACAUUAGUUAUUCCAAAGUCUUUGGAUGCAAUAUUUUAUAAUAAACACCAAAGACAAUCUUGGAAAAUUUGAUGCAAAAUUGGAUGUUGGAAUUUUCCUUGGUUACUCAACUUCAAGUAAAGCUUUUCGAGUUUUAACAAAAGAACCAUGGUUGUAGAGGAGUCCAUCCAUGUUAUUUUUUAUGAAUCUCCAAGAAAGAGAGAGGAUUGAUGAUGAUUUAGGUUUGAAGACCUCUAUAGGAAGAUUGCAAAUCGAAGAUAGAAGACAACAAGAAGAAAAUGGAGAGAAUCCAAAGAAAGAAGGAUCACCAUUGGCACUACCCCCUCAUCAACAAGCGCAAGGUGAAUCAAGUCAAGAGCUUCCUAAAGAAUGGAAGUUUGUCAUCAAUCACCCACAAGAUCAAAUUAUAGGCAAUCCAUCUAGUGGGGUAAGAACUAGAUCCUCUCUUAGAAAUAUUUGCAAUAAUCUAGCUUUUAUCUCUCAAAUUGAGCCUAAAAAUAUAAAUGAUGUUUUAGAUGAUGAAAAUUGGAUAAUUGCAAUGCAAGAAGAGUUAAAUCCAUUUGAAAGAAGUGGAGUAUGGGAAUUAGUACCAAGACCUUCAAAUCAAAGUGUUAUUGGAACUAGAUGGAUCUUUAGAAAUAAAAUGGAUGAAAAUAGCAUAAUUGUUAGAAAUAAAGCAAGAUUGGUAGCCCAAGGUUUUAAUCAAGAAGAAAUGAUAGAUUAUGAAGAAACCUUUGCCCCCGUAGCUAGGUUGGAAGCCAUUAGGAUGCUACUUGCCUUUGCAUGUUUUAAAGACUUUGUUUUAUAUCAAAUGGAUGUGAAAAGUGCUUUUUUAAAUGGUUUUAUAAAUGAAGAAGUAUAUGUUGAACAACCACCCGGUUUUCAAAGUUUCAACUUUCCUAACCAUGUUUUUAAACUUAAAAAGACACUUUAUGGUUUGAAACAAGCACCUAGAUCAUGGUAUGAAAAAUUGAGUAAAUUUCUUUUGAAAAAAAUGUUUUAAAAUGGGAAAAAUUGACACAACUCUUUUUAUAAAAACCAAAGAAAAUGAUAUGCUCUUAGUUCAAAUAUAUAUUGAUGAUAUCAUUUUUGGUGCUACUAAUGUCUCUCUUUAUGAAGAAUUUUCUAAGUGCAUGCAUAGUGAGUUUGAAAUGAGCAUGAUAGGAGAACUCAACUUCUUCCUUGGACUUCAAAUCAAGCAACUAAAGGAAUGAACCUUCAUCAAUCAAGCAAAGUAUAUAAGAGAUCUUCUCAAAAGGUUCAACAUGGAAGAAGCCAAAACAAUGAAGACUCUAAUGAGCUCAUCCAUUAAGCUUGAUAAGGAUGAGAAAGGUAAAUCCAUUGACUCUAUUAUGUAUAGAGGCAUGAUAGGUUCUUUGCUCUAUUUGACCACUAGUAGACCUUACAUUAUGUAUAGUGUGUGUUUGUGUACUAGAUUUCAAUCUUGUCUUAAAAAAUCUCACUUAAGUGUCGUGAAAAGAAUCCUCAAAUAUUUGAAAGGGACAAUGGACAUAGGCUUAUGGUAUCCUAAGAGUGAUAACUUUGAAUUAAUUGGUUUUUUGGAUGCUGAUUUUGUCAGUUGUAGGGUUGAAAAAUAAAACACUAGUGGCACUUUUCAUUUCUUAAGACACUUACUUGUCUCAUGGCAUAAUAAGAAGCAAAAUUUGGUAGCUUUGUCAACAGCAGAAGCUAAAUACAUAGCAACUGGUUUAUGUUGUGCACAAAUCCUUUGGAUGAAAUAAACACUUAGUGAUUUUGAUUUAUCUUUUGAGCAUAUUCCUAUUAAAUGUGAUAAUAGUAGUGCCAUAAGUAUAUCAAAAAAUCUCGUGCAACACUCUAGGACUAAGCAUAUAGAGAUUAGACAUAAUUUUCUUAGAUAUCAUACACAAAAGGAUGAUAUAACACUUGAAUUUGUAAGCAUAAAAGACCAACUUGCCGAUAUCUUUACAAAACCUCUAAGAACAUUUUGUUGAUAUUAGAGGACAAUUAGGAGUGAUUUCUUUAUGAUCUAAUGUGAUGAAUUCUUGAUGAAUAUACUUUUUGAUUGCAUGAAUUUCAUGUCAUAUAUGCAUCAUAUAGAAAUAUACUUAGAUAAUGGUCAAAUUUCGACCAAAAAUCAAAAUUCCCAUGGCAUUAGGCAUAAAAAUUUUGGAAUUUCAACUGAAAAUGGUAGGAGGAGGAUCACAAAAUGAGAAAGUAUGCAAAAAUUGAAAAAUCAAAACGUUGACCAAGCGGUCAAUCGGACUAGACCGAUCGACUAGUUUGUCGAGAUUUAGGAUUUUUAAGAGACUCCAACGCUUCAAUUUUUGCACCGUUCUCCUCUAUUUCUUCACGGUUUCUCUGAUUUUGUCUUUUAGAGACUAAUUUGAGUGCGUUUUGGAUCAAUUGAAGCAUUUUGGAUUGGAUUUUAGGAAGAUUGAAAGUUAAGGUUUCGGAUUUGGGUCGCCUUCUCUUCCUCUCGCGUGUCACAAUCAGCUUUAGCAUUGUUCUCUUUCCAUUUUCACACACCUAGGGUUUCAGUUGUGAGCAUCUCUCUCUCUUUACCAACCACUACUCCCUUGCUUCUUCCAUAUGGCUCCUAGGCGAGAGUCCGCUACUUCUAGGGCACAAGGCAAGCACCCAACUGAGUCGUCUCAGUCAAAGGCACGUCGAAAAGUGAGAUUUGACAUUGCCUUGUUCAGUUCCAUGGAGGACUACCAACUAUACAAGCAACACUUUGCUUAGAGACGAGUAGUUCCCAAGAGAAAUAUUAAUUUUCCUCAACUUCAGCAUUUCGAAUUUAAGGGUCUAUUUACUAGGAUGGUUGGUUGUCUAUUGUCACAAUUUCGGAGCCGGUUUUCCUGACCUUAGUGCGAGUUUUUUACUCGAGGGCGACUUAUGGCAUGGGUGGCAUGAUCAUUUCUACUGUUGGAGGAGUUGAGAUCUGUCUGGACCCAGAGAGCAUCUGCCAUAUUUUCGAUAUUGCUCUGGUUGGACUCAAAGUAUACAAGUCCAAAAUGUGGCCCAUUGUGCCAGGAUUUGAGCUUAGAGAGGUCAUUCAGAGGAUUUGUGAACUUCCAGACGCCCAGGAGAUGGGCAAACCAUUGCCACACAGUUUGACGGUCAUCAACAGGGUGCUACACCAUAUAUUGUGCUCUAUCUUUCUACCACGAAGUGGACAUUGAGAUGAGGUCUCUUAUUAUGAGGCAUUCCUUAUUGACUCCAUUCUAACGGAGAGACGAAUUCAUCUACUAUGUCAUCAUUCACUAAGCCUCCUCACAGUGACAUACCACCUCAUCAGGCACCUCUUGCUCCUGACCAUGCUCCAUUGAUGGAUUUAUUUACUCAUAUUAGCUCUCUAGGCACUCGCAUGAAGGAGUUUGUUGUAGUUAGUGAUACAUGGUUCUACUCCAUAGAGGAUCGCAUGGAUCAGUAUCAGACUGGCUUCACGUCACAGUUUGAGUAUCUCCAAUAGAGGAUUGAGCAUAUUGAGGAUCACUUGAGCAUGAGAAGAUGAUGGCUUUUCUAUGCUCUGUGUUUCCACCUCCACCUCGUCAACCUUGAUUUCUUAGAGACCCAUUGUUUUCAUUUUGUAAUGUUGCCAAAAGGGGGAGAUAUUUAGGAUCUAGGACUCUAUAGGAGACUUACAUGCAUAUCAUUUUCAUAUCAUUGUUUGGAUCGUACAUAUUGGAUAGUGAUACUUUUUACUUAUAUAUGAUAUGCCUAUAUGUUUCAUGUCUUACAUUGUUUCUUAUUGCAAAUUAUCUCUAACAUGUCUUGAUUAUCUUUUUUUUAACUUCAUAAAUUUUGAUUGUUAACCCAUGAUUGGUUUGAGGGGAAGAUUCUUCUUCUCCUAGAUAACCAAGGUUUGUCAUCAUAAAAAAAUUGGAGAUUGUUAGCCCAAGGGUUCUCCUAAUCAUGUUUUGAUGAUAACAAACCAUGCUUAAGUUACUAAUUGGUUUGAAUUAUAAAGAAUUUCAAGUGUUAAUUUGAAAAUUCAUCAAAGAACCUAAUGGAUGCAAGAUCAAGAUUUUUGGAAGACCUUUAAUCAUAAGAAACAUAUGUAAGAUGAAUGCAUGGGUGCACUUAAGAUUUGCAUAUCAUUUCAUGCAUAUUUGGAAAACACGGUUUAUGCUUUAAAGUUACAUUUCCAUCAAAAUUUGAGAUCCAUCAAAUGAACCUUAGGAAAAAUGUUUUAAAAUUGGCAUAUAAUUUUACCUAAAGACCUUGCCUAAGUGUUAGAAGCAAAAGGACAAAAAAAAUAUAGGUUUUCUGGUCAAAAAUGGUGAACCAGUCAAGGCAUUGUCUAAAUCAGCUCAAUCGGCCAAGGUACCGGUCGAUCGGUUUCCCUUUCCCUGUCGAGAUCUAGUCAAGAGGUACAAAAAUCACAAUCUCUGUCUCUUUCUCUCUUUGUCUAUCUUCCAGUAGUCUUUCCUUCCCGGUCGAGGGAUUUGCCUUCCCGAUUGAGGUCCGAUUGAGAGUAAUAGUCACUUGCCAAAUAUUAAAUGCUCCAACAGUUAGUGAACUGGUCGACCCCCACCUUGCCCAGUUGAGGUUACUUUUUGGUUUUCUUGGCUCCCGAUGUUAGAAACCUAUAAAUAGAGAGUUCCACUUCAUUUAUGAGCAAGAGAACACUUGCAUUUAUUUGUUUACCUACUUGUUCUUGCCUUAAAAGCUCUCAUUUCUUUUCUUGGUGCAUUAAAUCUCCAUUUUGAUAUCCUUUAGUGCACCUUUGUGAUUCAUCUUAGCCUUGAGUUGUAUUUGAGCCCUUUUUUUAGCUAGGUUGAGAGUUUCAUACUUGUUAAUUGAGUGUUAAAGCCUUCAAGUGAGUUGAAACUUGUAGAGAUUAUGUGAGAGUCGAUUGGAGCCGAAAUCCAAGUGUAAAGGUGAUUAGAAGCUUGGUUGAAGCUUCAAGUUAGUGGAAUCCUCACUCAAUUAGGAGCUUGAGGAGAGUGGACGUAGCCAAGGAAGUGUCGAACCACUAUAAAAUUUGAGUUUGAUUUCUCUAACAUUGUCUCUUUAUAUUUGUUUAUCUUGUGCUUAAAUUUAUUGUGUUUAAAAAGAAUUUUUAAAUACCCAAUUCACCCCCCUCUUGGGUGUUUUUCUCUUUUAAAAUUAGCCUUUAUUUUCUCACAAACUAUUGUAGUAUAGUGGUUUUUAGGUGUCAUCCAUUAGGAUGAAUUGUUCUCGGUAAUUAAGGCGUGAAUGAGAGGAGAAUUAAUGAUUGUGAUUAAGUAAAAUUGAUUUGAAAAUUCAUGGUGAAAAAUCAAUUUAACAAUGGUUUCUAAUUGAGAAAAACAAUGAAAUGUGAAAUAAAAUAAAAUUAAUAGGAAAUGAAAUUCUCGAAGUUAGAAUUUUCUAAAAAACAAAUUCCAUGGUGAAUGGAUGUUGAGAUCUAAUUUUCAUCAAGUUAGAUUGAAAACCGAAAUUUUCAUAUAAACUGAUUUUUUAUUUAGUUUUAGGUCUAGAUUUAAUUUCCCUUAAAAUUAGGUUAUUUAAUCCAAGAAAUCAAUUCAAAUCAUAUAUUCAAUUCAUCUUAAAUUAUCUUCCAAUUAUUCACACAAUGCAACUAUUCAAUCUCAUCAAAUCUAGCUUUUAAGAAUUUAAUGAAUCUACCUAGUUUGCAUUGUAAUAGUCAUCCAUGACAAUUUGAAGAGAAAAAUAAUUCAAUUAAUCAAUCACUUGGAUCAAAUUACCUUUGCAAUUAAAGUUCAUUUCUCUAAUUCACCACAGAUUUUGUCUCUAGAUCCUCCUUUCUCAAAGAAAAAUGAGAUUUAGCCACACAUGAUUGGAGAUUUGGUCUCAUAAGGCAUGUUUAGCUAGUGAUAAAAUGAGAGAAAAUAAAGAAAAAUAGAGAAUUCGAUUAAGAAAGAAAAUCUAAAAAAUUCUACAAUUAGAAAUGUCCAAAAAGCUUUUUCAUGAGAAAAUCAAGUUUCUAUUUAUAGGCCAAGGUCAAGUGGACACUUGACAUCAUCUAAGAGGUCUUCCGGAAGCUUCUUCAUCAAGAAAUCUGGAGUUUAAUAAUAAAAUGGUCAUUUCACAAGAGCUCAAACAAUUUCGCAUGAUUAUGUGAAAUAAAAAAUGCAACAACAGCAAUUUACAUCUUCUUGGAGCAUUUCGCAUGACUGUGUGAAAUUUUCACAUGAUCAUGUGGAAUCGACUUGACAACUCUCAUUUAGCCUACAACAUAAUUCCACCUUUUGGUCCAUUUUUCAUAGUCAUGCGAAAUGGAAAUAUUUGAUUUUUAAGUUUUCUUUUGUCAUUUCUUUCAUUUCCUUCUCUUGAUUCCACUUCAACUACCUCCGAAUCCUGGUCCAAACCAAUUGCAUUACUUCUUUCAUUAUGCAUUUGGAUCAUCAUCAACAUUAUUUGUUCUCUUCAAUUUGAUUCAUCUCUUUUGUCACCAAUUUAUCAAAAUCAUACCUUGAAAUGACUCCAAAACUUCAUAAAACUUGUUAGUAACUCUUGCAAGGGCAACAACAUAUUAAUUAAGUGUUUUAGGCAUAGUUACUACUCAAAAGAUGCGAAACUCAUGAUAAUUAUUAUAUAAAAUAUGCUCUUUUUGAGUAGUAAUCAACUUUCUUGCAUAAGCAGACCUUUUAGGGUGGAGUACUAAAGACCAAUAUGCUUGUCCUUGUUGUAAUAAAGAAACUUGCUCUUAUUGAUUGCACCAUGGGAGAAAAUUUUGCUACAUGAGUUAUCAUCAAUUUCUUCCCACCAAUCAUAGAUUUAGACGUGACAAGAGGCCUCUUAAUGGCAAGGAGGAACUGACACUCACACUUAUACAAUUAUCGGGCAUUGAUGUGUUGCAACAAUUAGAAUAACUUACACCAAUUAUGUUGGGGAAGUCACAAAAGGCAAACAUGAAAACUAAAAGGAAAAAAGAAAAAUGUUACAUAUCACCACAACUGGAAAGAAAAAAGUAUUUACUUUCAUUUGCCAUAUUGGAAAGCACUUAUUUUACAUCAUAAUAAUUUAGACAUAAUGCAUAUUGAGAAAAAUGUGUGACAAUAUAAUUGAGACAUUGUUCAGUAUUGACGAAGAAACAAGGACAACCUAAAUAGUCAUCUCGAUUUACAAGCUCUAACUAUUAGAAAUGAGAUUCACCCAAUAGAAAGCAGGACCAAAUUUAUUUUGCUUGCAACAUGCUACUCACUCACCCCAAAUGAGAUUAAGGAAUUUUGCAAGUUUUUGAAAUCAAUAAAGGUCCCCAAUGGCUAUUCUUUCAAUAUCUCUCGUUAUGUGCAACUCAAUGAAAGGAAGAUAUAUGAGCUCAAAUUGUAUGAUUGUCAUGUCCUAAUGCAACAACUUCUCUCACUUGUAGUUCGUGGAGUUCUACAUAAGAAUGUUUGUGGAGUUAUCAUAGAAUUGCGUAAUUUUUUCAAGCAAUUGUGCUCAAAGGUGUUAGAAACAAAUCACUUACACCAACUUGAGAACAAUAUUAUUGUCAUACUAUGUAAAAUGGAGCAAAUAUUUCUUCCAUCAUUCUUUGAUAUUAUGGUGCAUUUACUUGUGCAUCUAGUAAGGCAAAGGUUGCAAGACUUGUGCAAUAUUGUUGGAUGUACCUAAUUGAACGAUAUUGUUAUAAUUUCAUAUGAAUCAUUUAAUUUUAUUUUAUAUUAUGUUCAGUUCAUUAACAUGUACAUUGGUCUACAUAUGGAUGAUGAUAGGUACCUAAGCACUUUAAAGUCAUAUGUGCGUAAUAGAACUUUUCUAGAAGGUUCUAUUGUAGAAAGGUACCUUGCAAAAGAAUGUACAACAUUUUAUUCUAGGUACUUGAAUGAUGUGGAAAUAAAGUAUAAUCACAAUGAUAGAAACUUUGUUGGUUUCAACACUAGAGGAGAUGAAAGGGGUUAUCUUUAAACAUAUUGGACAUGCAUUGGGAAAGCCCAUAUUUCAUUAACUUAGUUCAAAAGAGUGGUCACAAGCACAUUUAUAUGUGUUGACAAAUUGCGAAGAUGUCAUACCAUUCAUUGAGUAAAAAAUUUAUUUGAAUUUUAAUUAAAGCUCUAGUUUAUAUCCUUAAUCAAUGUUUUUUAAAUUCACAAGGAGCACAAGCAAACCAUCAAGGCUAGACCACAUAUACGUGUUUGAGACGUAGAUUUAAUUCAUAACAAGGAAUUUAUCAAGUGGUUUGAAAGACAUGUAAGUAUAUUCCUUAUUAUAAGGGAUUUAUUUCACAUUAUGUUUAUAUUGAAUCCAAACCUAUUAUUGAAUUGUAGGUUGAACAAUUACAUAAUGAAGGUCAUAUAUCUGAACACCUUCUCACAUUAUCAUGUGUUCCAAAUUCAUUAGUUACAUGCUUCAAAUGAUAUAUUGUCAAUGGAUUUAGAUCCCACAUUAAAGAACGUGAUAAAAAAGUUUUUAAAAAAAGACUCAGAAUAAUGGAAUUGUUGUAGUUGCAAAAACGUCAAGCUUUACAAGUGCAUGUGAUAUGAGUCCAAUUAUUAGUGAUGCUCUCUACUAUGGUGUUCUAACUAAAGUUGUUGAGUUACAUUAUCUUGGUGAAAAUAAGGUUGUUUUAUUCGAGUUUGAUUGGUGGGAUGUUACAAAUAUUGGAAAAUUGAUAAAAGAUGAUGAGUACAAUUACACAUUUGUUAACUUUGCAUGAAUUCUAACCACGAACGAACGAUUUGUACUUGCAUCUCCAGCAAAGUAAGUGUUCUAUGUGAAGAAUGCGAAUGAAUCAGAUUGGCAUACUAUCAUGGAGAUGCAACCUCAAGACCUCUAUAAGAUGAACGGGAUAGGAUCCAAUGGUGAUUUUGAACCAUUUCAACAAAGUGAACUACAUGAUCACUAAUAUAUCUCAGAUUUAGUUGAUGAAGAUAUAAUCAAGUGGAACAAAAGUGAUGUUUUAGGACUAAUCAUCCUAAAAAAUAUUGUAGUUUCUUAAAAAAAAAAUGAAAAUGAAGAAGAUAAUUGAACCUUUGUCAUACUUUAAAAAGCAACUAUGCAUUGUUCAUUUUGUAUGUUUUGGUUUUCUUCAUUUAAUUUCCUGAUUUUUGUGAUUCAAUGUCAUAUUAUUGAUCUUGAAAUAUUUUUCUAAUUUUUCAUUCUACGAUGGUUUCAACAAGGAUGACAUCAAGUCAAAAAAGGAAAUGUGGUCCCACACACAAUAUUGCAUUACAGGGAUUAAGGUCAGGGAAGAAGGUAAAAGUUGCAUUUAAUGAGUACAAUCAAUUGGUUAAACAGAAAAAUGGAAAACACUUAUCGAGCUACAUAGGGACACUUGUAUCUAACCAACACAAUGUACCUCUCCAAGCUAGUGAUUGGAAAAAUGUUCCAAAUGAUGCAAAAGAGAAAGUAUGGCCUUUGUUUUGGUAUGUUGUAUUUCUCACUAUAUGAUGUCAUUUCACUGUUAUUCUAUUUUGUGACUAACGUUUGAAUCAUAUGUAAGAAAAAUUUGAAGUAGAUAAAGACUGAAAAGAUUACAUGUUGGGUAUAGCCUCAAAUAAAUAUAGAAGCUAUAAAAAUAUGAUGAAUGCAAAAUACUAUGACCCUUGGCAUAAGGAUGCAUGAGGAGAGGUUAAUACAUAAAUCACCAUUUGUCUCUGAUGUUGAUUGGAAGUGGCUUGUCUCUGAUGCAUAAACCAAAUCCCCCACUGAAUGUUUGAUAUUUGAUAGCAGGAAAAACACACCCGCAGCUAUACACCUCCAUCAUUCAGAUAAUUAUAGUGGGGGAGAUGAUUCAUGGUUGCCCUUAUACCCUUUAUUUGCACCAUCUAUUGAGAUUCUUUAUCAUGGCCAGGUUUUACUGCAGCAAUAAGAUAUGGUGGCAACAAUUUUAUCUAUAGGUGCGGUUCCAGACCGCCUCCAUAGGUGCGGUUCCUGACUGCCUCCAUAGGUGCCUCUUCUUGUAAUGUUUGUUCUGGGAAUUACACUUGAAAGCCUUAUCGUGAUAAGGGAUUACAAACACUAGUUCAGAGGACAGCCAUGUUAAACUUCCACUAUGUUUGUGUCACAUUAUCAGCAGCCUAGUGUUUAUUGGUCAUGCUAUCUGCAACUAAUAUAACCCGGUGAACUUCAAUCUAAAUUCUGAAAGUACUCAUGUGACAGAUGGUGCCUUUCAGCAGAUAUCAUCAAUUUAAAAGUAGUGUGUGUGCCUAUAGGUGGGAAGGCCUUGGCAAAUGUUCAGUAUUCCGGUAAUUCAAGAAGGAUAUAUCUAAAAUAGAUUUUCUUCUUGCCCAUUUCAAUAGUUAAAAUUUGAGAAGAUUGUGUCCACAUCACACAAAUAUUAUUGGUCCUUCUGUUGCAAUUUACCUCUGAACAUGUCUUCCAAUUCCCACGGUCCUGUUACUCCAGGAAAACUAUUUCGGUCAUAUUGAAAAAAAAAAUAUUAAAGAAGGUACACAUGCUUUUAAGUGGACUGGGGCAUUCAUAUCAGGUGGUCUGUAUCCACAUAUGCCACUUCGUGAAAGGUGGAACAGCCUAAUCACUAGGCUAUUUAGUGUGGCCCAGCCACGUUAAUCAAGCACAAGUCUUCAUACUUAAAGUCAAAUGGUGUCUUUAGUCUCAUUACACAUCGCUAUUUGAAGAUUAACUCAUCACUAGUGUAAUGCGAUUAAGACAGUCCUAACUCAAUAUUUGUUCUAGUUUUGGAUGCAAAUGCUUGCUGGUUUCAUCAUUGGAUGGGAUAAAGGUGCAAUCAGGACUAUGAAUACGUGCAGUAAUACUUCAUUCUCUUUUUUCUCAAUGAGACUUCUUGGCACAAUUUUGCUGCUCAGCAACCUACCUUUCCAUGGAAAAUCAGUUGUGACUGAUAGUAAUGGAUAUAUUCUAGAAAGCUAAACAUAGAUAGCAUUCAAUAUUAUCGAUAUAACAUUAACAGCGUAUGUCUCAAUGCUCAUCAGCUACAAGCAAUGGACAAACACUUUGAGUAACUCACAGCAGUCAAAAUUCCUAAACAGGACAGACGUGACAGAUCUAUAUAUAGAACACUGCAUAUGAGUCACAGGAAAAGAUAAUACGGGUACAUAGAAGCUCUUAUUUUACAUAUUACUCAUACUGAUCAAAGUCGCUCAGUUGGGAUGGAUGGGAGAAGGAGGUUUGAGGGGUGGCUUGUGCGGGGAAGUUGGCAGCUUCUUUCCGGGAGCUGGUUGCUUCUUUGCUGGAGUUGAAGGAGGCUUAAUCUUCCGAGGUGGCUUGUAUGAGUCUUCAGCAUUCUCAGCAGGAGGGUGACCAGGGUUGUGACCAUAAUGUGGUGGCUUCUCUCCCUUAGGUGGUUUGCCAACUGGGGUUGGUGGCUUGUUUUCUGGGAGUGGCUUCUCUCCCUUGGGUGGUUUGCCAACUGGGGUUGGUGGCUUGUGUUCUGGGAGUGGCUUCUCCCCCUUGGGAGGUUUUUCGAAUGGGGUGGGUUUGUGUCCUGGUGGUGGCUUCUCUCCCUUGGGAGGUUUACCAAUUGGGGUCGGUGGCUUGUGUUCUGGGAGGGGCUUCUCUCCCUGGGGAGGUUUAGUGGGUGGCUUGUGUUCUGGAGGUGGCUUCUCCACCGGAGGCUUAUGCUCUGGUGGUGGCUUCUCGAAGGGGGGAUGCUCAGGGUAAUCACCAAGUGAGGGGGUGGUGAGAACCACCAUGCCAAGCAACAACACUAGCAAGUAUGUAGUAGACAUCUUUGGGUUUGGACUCAGACAGUGCAAAACUACGAGAAAUCGCUAGCCCUUUAUAGCGGCUCGGACCUAAUACUGACAUAAUAUAAAAUAAAUAUUAUAUUUUAUCAAGAGAGAACAGAGUGUAAUUUUAUCAUUAAUACCGAUCGAGGCCAAAGAAAGAAGACCCAUAAUCCAUUUCCCACAAGCAUACACAAUGCAGCUGUAAUUUUAUCAUUUACUUUUAUCCCUUGGACCACUGCAUUUUUGUUGAGAGACACAAUAACACAUUUUUAUCUGUCAUUCAACAUUUACAGUAAAGAGAGGGCACAAAACGCAAUUAGAUAAAUUAUGUUUUGCCUGCUAAAAAGAGGCAAAUAACUUUAUUUGCAACAUAAUUAUUUUGGUUUCUAGUGACCCCGGGGCCUUUCGGUUGGUUUGGGAUCGGAAAAUGAACAUCAUAGGGGGGGUUGUGCCCUUAUGGGCAUAUAUAUCUGAUAGCUUCAACUGGCCUUGUUCCUAGAAAGAAAUUGCCAAAGAUAUAAACUUAUUCCAGGCUGAAAGUAGAUGAGAGUCAUAAUGAACAUCAACCUUUGUUCAGUUUGAUUCAAUGCCCCCAUAGUGUUCAUUUCACAGAUCUGAAUGAUUAUAUCCGUUGAAUACAUAAAUUAAUGAAGACAAAUAUGAAACCCAAGAUACAUCUCUGCAUAACAACCCCAACCCUGGUUGCUAUGUUUCCCUUCUUCUAUUCACAUGAGGAUACUGGUUAUAAUUGUCAAACUUGCAACAAGCCCUUUGACACCUAACGUCAAUGGACGAAUUAAAAGUCUCCUUCAAACGUCUAUUUCACAGCAUGAAGCUUAUAAAGGAUGCUGACAACCUUCAGAGUUAGCGACAAAAGAUAAUUAUCAAGGAGAGAUAGUUCCAUGAGAAUUCCAAGGAGUCUGAAUCAAAGACAAAUUGCUCACUCAAGGGUUCUUAUUUUCUUUUAGGUACAAAUCUCUUGAGUGUUGUUAAAGAAACACGUCACUGUCAUUUUGAUUUGCAUUUAACAUUUCACUUUUGUUCUGGAAGGUUUGUUCCGGAAACAUAUCAAAUGAGCAUCAUUUUCUUCUUCGGUGACACAUGGUCGCGAGUACGUGGGUCCAUUUUCAUGCCACUUAGUUGAAAAGUUGGAAAGAAAAAACAUGCCAACAAGAAGAUAGUGAGAGAAGGGGCACUUCAAGCCUUUAACAUGAACAAACAGUAAAUAAAAGAUGUUUCUCCACUCAUAAAAGUGUGUUAGAUAGCAAUAUAACGAAUCACAUCCAAAAUCUUUACUAGGCUCAAACAUAAAGAAGACUCAUUUUUAAGAAAAGAUAAAAAUGGCAUUGUCUGAUAGUAUCCAAUACACGAGAUGGCACUUAAUUUGUACAAGAUCUGUCAAUGCUGACGCACAUUUUCUGAUUAAAAAAAAACUGAUCAGUCAAAAGCAAUGAAGAGAAGUGAUGACAAUGAAUGAUGCUUCCAAUAUUUUCACCCCUUAUAGUGUUCUUCAUGAUUCAGAUAUAUAAUUGGAAAUAGAACAACCCUAUGCCAUACAUUCGUCUAAGUAUGGUGUCUAAUUUUUUGUGUCAGCGGUUGCGAAUGGAGCGUGCAAAAGUCCAAAUUGGCGUCUCUCCAUUUCCACAUAGGAAGGUGACCUUUAUUGACAAAUACCCAAUAUUUGUAGACAUUCCUUAAAUAUCAUAACUUCUUGUUGAUUUGAAAAUCAUUUUUCAACUACCAUGUUUUAAUAAAUAUUUUUUAAAAUGUAUUUUUAUCAAAGUCCACCAUGAUGGAUAAUAUUCACCAUGCAAUAAUUAAUAAAGUACAAACUAAGCGAAAUGAAAAGCAUUUUCUUUGCUUUGAGUUGAUUUUGGUUGCAUUGAGUUGAUUUUGGUUUCAUGGUUUUUUCAACUCUUAUUUUGAUUGGAAGAUGUCAAGAAAAGAAAACAUAAAGAAAAAUUAAAAGGGAAAAAAGAAGAAAAAUAAAAAAAAAUAGAUUUAAAAGUUAAUAAAUUAUUUUUUAUAUUUAUUUUAAUUCAUUUCACUUAUUUUUCUUUUACUAUAUAAAAUUUAAAUAAUUUAAAUUUUAUAAUUAAUUUAAUUACAUUUCAUUUUCUUCUAUAUUUAAAUAUUGGAAAAAUAUUUUACUUAAUAUUUUUUUCUUUAAUUUCUUUGGCAUUUUGGGAACCAAACUUAGCCUUUAAAAUAAAAAACAAAAAAAAAAUGAAAAUAAGGAGGGAAAAGUGAGAAAAGAUAAAAACAAUAUGUAAAGGAUUUGAAAAGUAUUAGUUUGUAAUUACUAUUUGGAUUUCAAUAGUAUUUUAUUUGUCUUUCUAUAUUUCAUGUAAGAGAGAAUUUAAGAUAUUCCCCAAGGCAAAGCAUUAGUUACCUGCAAUCAGUGGUGAUAAGGCUCCAAGCCAAUUUUGGGCCCCAUAUCUUAAGACAGUACAAUUUCCAUUUCAACAUUUCUGAUUUCUCAGAUGUUUCACAUACCACAGAAGAACAUUGUUUGUGAAAAUAUGCAUUUAUGUUGGAUUUUGUAUGCUGUGGGGACUGGGGCAAGGAUCAUAUGGAAGAGUGGUUGACUUUUUCUGUACUUUAACGGUUGAAAUAGGAUAAGCACGGGCAUUUGUGAGGCUUAAUUGAUUUUGAAGCCUGAAAUUGCGUUUCUGUCAUUUUGUCAAAAAAAUGGCAGAUUCCAUACUCAUAUGUUUGGCCUGUGGCCAUGUACAGAUGCCAUUUAGUGACCAGUUUGUAACUGUCAAUCGUUGCGUUUUGACUCUGCCUCAACAACAUCUGCCAUUGACGGGUUUUCAUACUUGCAAAUCAAAUAGUCUUUCGUCCCAUCAGGAAUUUCGGUUUAAAUAUUAUUAAGCAUACGUUUGGCUGACAAUCAUUAUCCAGUUCAUGAUUUGGUUUCUUACCCUUAAUCAAUGGUUUCUAAGUGAAUAUAUGUAGAAGGAAAUCCGAAGUGUAGACAGUAGUAUCGAUAACUCUCAAUAUUCUCUAUAUAAUAGAAUAAACAGCGUCAUAGUGAUCGUCGCCUACAAGCAAGGUACAAAUACCAAAACGAGUGACUCACAUAGACAUCUCCCAACAAGAUGUAGUAGUGACUGACACAUGGACACAAUUAACUCGUAGAAAAGGAUAAGACCAUUGCACAGCAGCUCUUAUUUUACAUACUACUUAUGCUAACCAAAGUCAAUUAGUUGGGAUGGGUGGGAGAUGGAGGUUUGUGCGGUGGCUUGUGGGGCGGAGUUGAUGGCUUCUUUCCAGGAGCUUCUGGCUUUUUCAUCGGAGCUGAAGGAGGCUCAAUCUUAUGAGGCGGCUUGUAUGAGUCUUCUUUACUCUCGACAGGAGGGUGGCCAGGGUUGUGAUCAUAAUGUGGUGGCUUCUCUCCCUUAGGUGGCUUGCCAACUGGGGUUGGUGGCUUGUGUUCAGGAAGUGGUUUCUCUCCCAUGGGAGGUUUAGCAAUUGGGGUUGGUGGCUUGUGUUCUGGGAGUGGCUUCUCUCCCUUGGGAGGUUUAGUAGGUGACUUGUGUUCUGGAGGUGGCUUCUCCACCGGAGGCUUGUGCUCCGGUGGUGGCUUCUUGGUUGGAGGGGGCUUGGGGUAAUCAGCAAGAGAUGGGGUGGUGAGAACCACCAGUCCAAGGAACAACACUAGCAAGUAUGUGGGAGACAUUUUUGAGUUUGGGCUGAUCAGAUGAUGCAAAACUAAAGCAUUACGUGACCUUUUAUAGCAUGUAGCUCCCAAUACCCACUAAGUAUUGUGGGGUCCAUUUGUGCCCUACGGGGUUGAAAACUUAGACAAUUGGGCAAGGACCCACCUGACUAUGGAGGACUAGUGAGGUGUGAUCAUAGCUUUAGGAUUUUUCUUCCUCUGCAGCCGUCGUGCCGUUGGCAUGAUUUUCUUAAUCUUAAAUAAAGGCAUAGUUAUAGAGUUGUUUAAUCUCUAAAUGGGAUUUUAUAUAUAUCUUCAGAUAGCCAUUAAUAUAUUUGAUGAAGAAAGAAAGACAAGUGCAUACAACAUGUAUACGACUAGCUUUCAUGGAGUUCAUUUAUGAUCAGUUUUCCUGUACAUGUAAACCAGGAUCAUAUAUAUGUUUCUGUUCCACAACUAUUUUGGAAUCUUGUUUAUCAGUUUUUAUCAUUAUAAUGUCACAUAGGCUGCCAACUUGGGCGCUAAAAGAACCAGUUGGGCUAGUUCGUUUCAGAAUUUCAAUGUGGAUUCAGGAAUUGUUUUGUAAGAUAUGCGAAAUAGUAGAGGGAUGAAUAGUGUUUCAUUAAUAAAAGUGUCCUGUAAAUUAGAAGGUGUCAUAGAAACUAUAAUCAAUAAAUAACUUUUUUUCCCCACGGGUGGUGUUUCUUGUGGGGAUCAGUGACUGGUUUAGGUUCACCCAAAAUGAGUUCAGACUAAAAUUGGUUUGAGUCAAUGCCGUGUCUCUUUUUUCCAGAAAUCAACUAUUUUAUGCAUUGAAUAAAUCAUACAAAGAAAAUAUGAACGCCCGCAAAACCUAAACCCUGGUUGCUAACUUUCUAUGUUUCAGUUCUAUUCACGCAAGAAUAUUAGUUUAAGUUUGGGAAAAAUGGCAACUUACCUAGUGAUUACUUGGUUUUGGUUUGCGACUAUUUACGCAACCAACCAUGAGUUUGACUUUAACGUCAUGGGUUGAAGCCUCCUACAGGAAGGGAGAAAGCUCCACAGCUAGCUCCAAAAGAGAAUUAUCACAUUGAUAGCUCCAGAGAUUCCCAAGGGGACUGAAUCAAAGACAAGUUCCUCACUUUUUCUUCUUUUGAGGCCAAAUAUGAACCAAGGAUCACACAACCUCAUUCAACUUCAUAAGUUUGAUUUCAUGCAGUUGAACACUGGGUGAAGGCCAUGACAAGAAUUGAUUCAAAAAUUCUAUCACUCUUUUAAGUAAUGGAAGAUUAUUAUCUCUGAUUGGCAUCACAACAGCACAUGCUCCUAGAUCUUUCUAGACACUCCAUGCAAUGAAAGCACAAUGGAUCUUGUAACGAUAGAAACUAAGCCAUGCUACAGUACUAGAUGAUGAGGUAAAACUAGUAGACACGGGUGGCAGCCUAUAUGGGAGGGACACAAGUCUAAUUGAUUUGCAUUUCAGCAUUAUAGAUAGGUAUGUUUUGGAAGAUUUGUUCUGGAAAUACCGCACCAAGUAGGAUUCUUUUUCUCUUUAGUGGGUCCACUUGCAUGCCAAUUAACGAGUUGAAAAGUAUGAGCACCUACCUCGUGCUCGUGGAACCGAAGGUCAGUGAAGUGGGGCUCCUUUUGGCCUCGUGUAAACUUGAUUCAGAAGUGAAGUUAAUAGUCUUCCAUUCAGAUGGAUACAUGGGAAUUUUUCUCUUUUAUUUAUUUAUUUAUUUUUUUUUUGUGUGUGUAUGUCAAAGGAUAAUGAAUGAAGCGCGUUAGCUUGUUUUCUGACUGGAACCGCAGAUGUCCAAAUUGGAGUUCCUUCAUUUCUUACUUAGGAUUGUUACAUGUAUAAACAAGGUAUAAGAAAUAUGCCAACGUGUCUUGAGGAGUUAUUGAUUAGAAAUAACAAGUCACCCGACUGUAGAGUUCCAAGAUUUGAAUCUUCAGACCCUAUAGCAGCCUCUGGGGUACGUGGCAUCCUAUAGCAUAUUAAUGAAGGCUUUUUCGAUUUAGACUUCACAAUACCAAUUAAUAUGUAUGCACAAAAUGGAGAUGACCCCAAAAAAAACAGAAUCGCCAUAGUUUAUGAGGUUAAGGUGAUUCUCCACUUAAUAUCUACAUUAGCUAAUUAUGUAAAUCAAAUGAACUUCUAUUUUUCCUUUUUUUUUUUGGUUUAUGUCAAAUAGUAGCCCAUAAUUAACCCAACCAUUAGCCUGUUUGAAUUGAUUUCACAUGCACAAUGUUGUAGUAGUUCAUAUUUUGAAUUUUAUUUUUACAAAGGUAGUUAAGGAAAAUGAAGUAUAAUAAUUAUAAAAGCAGACUAUAUACACUACAAUAAUUGUUAGAAUGGUAUCUCAAAUUCUAAUUUAAAAUAUUAUUUUUUGUAAAAGAAAUAUUAUAUAGAAUAUUUCCUAAUUUUAUAAAUGAUUAUAAUUAGAUCUUUAUAAAAUAAGGAAAGUUGGUAAGAAUAUCUUUAUAAAUAUUUUAGGUCAUGAGAGAAAGAAAUGGGAUAAAAAUGUGAUGAAGAGGUGAAAUAAGAGAGUUGAUUAGGAUAUAGAUGUGAAGAAGAAAGGGAUUCAAUAUAUAUAUAUCUUUCAAUUACCACAUUAAAACCCUGUGAACCUUUUAUAUGGUUUACUUUAUUUUUAUAUUCCUCCUUUAAUAUAUUUACAUUAAUGCUUCCAUUGGCACAACAAUAACGAAUUACAAAUACAAGCAACAAGUCCCAUGUUUUAUUACCAAAAGCAGGUAAAAUCCACCUAAUAUAUUACAAUAUAUUCAUCCAAUAUUUUAGACCAAUUCUUCACCAUAAAUAUCAUAAUGUGGCUUUUGUUCUUUCUUAAAUUUAAAUUGAAUUGUCUUAUAUCAAUUUGUUUGUGAUUUUUUCAUUAACUUCACUUUCAUUUGGUUAUCUUUGGUUUUUGAAAAGUAUUAAGGAAUUAAUUAACAAAAUAAUGUUAAGAAAAAUAAUUUUCUCUCUUUUGAUUUUGAUUUUGUAGUAGAAAAAUAUAAUUAAAAUUAUUUAAAAAGUAUGUAAUUUUAAAUUAUUUAAUAUUUAGAUAAAAAAAAUAAGUCUAAUGAGUUUAAAAUAACAUAUAAAAAUAAUUUAUUUAUUUUAAAUUUAUUUUUUAUUUUCCAUUAUGUUCUCUUUCUCUUUUACUUUUUCAUAUUUUUUCUUACGAAGAAUCAAACACAACCUCAUAUUAUAUGUCAAGUGUUUGUCUAUAUUUGAGCAAUGUUAGAUACGGCCAUGGAUUCAUCAAACUAAACUGAUUUUAAUAGAUACUUCACAAAUUGAUUUAUACACUAAAUCAUUGGAUAGCAAUGAUGCAUUGGAAUUAAACGUAGGAUGAAGCUCGAAGAACACUGUUUGUGUAACAACAUAUUUAUGAAAUUAUGCAAAGGAUGAGCUUCGGGGUAGUAGUACAAGGUCAUUAAUGGAGAGCCGUGUUAAACCUUGAUUGUGAUUGGAUUCCGUUAUCAGCAACAGCAACCUUGUUUGUAACCUUGAAAGUCAUUCUGUCCACAUCGAAACUCCAAUUUGACGUUUGUAAUUACCAUUCCUGGAGUGUUCCUUGAUUGAAAUUUAAAUAAUAAUUGCGGCCCACAAGGAAUAUUUUCGAUUCUGUGGGAAUUUGACAAGGUUUGUUAGAGAAGACUGGUGACAUGUUGACUUCAAUGGUUCAAAUAGGAGACGUAUGUGGAUUUGGGGGGUUUAAUUGAAACUGAGUCCCUAUGGCUUUUUAAUAUUUGCAUUGAGCAGUCUCCAUGUGACUUCCUAAUUCCCACCAACCCUCCUGUCCAUGCUGUGAAACUAAAUUGUAAUUUAUCAGCCUUUGUCAAUGGUUUCUAAAUUAAAGAUAUAGACCAUGCAUGUACUUUAAUAAAAGCAAAUCUAAAGUGUAGAUAGCAGCAAUGGUGACACCCAAUAUUCUCCAUAAAAUAGAAUUAGAAUAAGCAGUGUUACAUUGUUCAUGAUCACCUACAAGCAUACAAGAACUUCCAUGAAUAACUCAUAGCAAUUGCCAACAGGGCGUCGUAGAGACUCAUACAUAGAACACUAUCCACCCAGAGGAAAGGACAAGACCAGUGCGCUGCAGCUCUUAUUUUUCACAUGUAUACCACCACUCGUAAUAACCAAAUUCACUCAGUUGGGAUAGGUGGGAGAUGGUGGUUUGUGGGGUGGCUUGUGGGGAGGAGUUGGAGGAGGCUUUAUUUUCUGAGGCGGCUUGUAUGAGUGUGCAGGAGGAUGCCCGGGAGUGUGACCAUAAUGUGGUGGCUUCUCUCCCGUAGGUGGUUUGCCAAAUGGGCUUGGUGGCUUCUCUCCCUUAGGAGGUUUACCAAUUGGGGUUGGUGGCUUGUGUUCUGGGAGUGGUUUCUCUCCCUUGGUAGGUUUGCCAAUUGGGGUUGGCGGCUUAUGUUCUGGGAGUGGCUUCUCUCCCUUGGGAGGUUUGCUAAUUGGGGUUGGCGGCUUAUGUUCUGGGGGCGGCUUCUCUCCCUUGGGAGGUUUGCCAAUUGGAGUUGGCGGCUUAUGUUCUGGGAGUGGCUUUUCUCCCUUGGGAGGCUUGCCAAUUGGGGUUGGCGGCUUAUGUUCUGGGGGUGGCUUCUCUCCUUUAGGAGGUUUGCCAAUUGGAGUCGGCGGCUUAUGUUCUGGAAGUGGCUUUUUUCCCUUGGGAGGUUUGCCAAUUGGGGUUGGCGGCUUAUGUUCUGGGGGUGGCUUCUCUCCCUUGGGAGGUUUGCCAAUUGGAGUCGGCGGCUUAUGUUCUGGGAGUGGCUUCUCUCCCUUGGGAGGUUUUGUUGGUGGCUUGUGUUCUGGAGAUGGCUUCUCCCCUGGAGGCUUGUGCUCCGGAGGUGGCUUCUGAAAUGGCGGGGGCUUGGGGUAAUGAGCAAGAGAUGGAGUACUG